rnacentral:lncRNA from 1 species
AAUAGGAGUUCAAUAAAAUAUAGAAUAAGGAUACACAAACAGGAACCCAUUUAAAAUUAUACUUUGACAAAAGACAAGAAGCAUUUCUUGGGUCAUCAAAUGAUACAUAGUGCGAUAUGGCUAGAACUUGUAUGUAUAUAAAAUAAACAUAAAGUAAUUCUUUUGGAGAGAUGGUUGAGUGCUUGAUAGCUCUGGUCUUGAAAACUGGUGUAGUUCUAAAGAACUAUCGAGGGUUCGAAUCCCUCUCUCUCCUUUUUCUUGUUGAAUGUUUCUUUAUUGGACUAAUAUGCUGUUAUAAAUUGUAAUGGCUCAGCUAGACAGGAUAGGAAAGCCGAGCCAUAACAAAAAAAUAGAUAUAAAUACAAAAAUAUCAACUAAGAGGGAUCAUGAAAAGAACAGGUUCCAAGUCACGAUCGAUUCUUUUUUCAAAUCCUGCUGCCGCUGCACGGGCCCUUCCUGCAUGCCACAAAUGACCCACAAAAAAGAAGAAUCCUAGAACAAAAUGAGAAGUAGCUAACCAACUUCUAGGAGAUAAAUAAUUGACUGCAUUGAUCUCAGUAGCUACGCNNNNNNNNNNNNNNNNNNNNUACCCAAGGAAUUUAAAGAACCUAGAGGAGUGUGAGUCAUAUAUUCUGCUGAACGGUGUUCUUUCCAAGGUUGUAUGUUUUUUUUCAGCCUACUCAAGUCCAACCCAUUUGGACCUCUUAAAGGUUCCAACCAAGCAGCACAGAGAUCUCAAAAACACAUGGUUUCCCCUCAAAAAAUCAAACUUCUGGUCCACAUUAGCCCCAAGGCAUUGGUCUCUAACUAGAAAAGUAAAAGCUUGAGCUUGAGAAGCUUCUGGUCUGGUUGGUCCAUAAAAUUCACUAGGGUAAGCAGCAUUAUUGAACCAGACAAAACAACAAGCUGUAAAAUCAAAGAUAGAUAAAACAGCUAAACUAUAAGAGAAGUAAACCUCUCCAGACCAGACAUGCAUGGCGAGCCCACGCAAAAGGCUUGGUUAAGAUAUGCCAAAUUCCACCAAGUAUACAAAUGGAACCUAACCAUACAUGUCCCUCAAUUAUAUCUUCUAAAUCGUCCACACUAACAAUCCAUCCUUCUCCCCCAAAAGGAGAUUUUAGUAAAUAACCAAAUAUAACACUUGGGCUAAGGGUCAAGUUGGUAAUUUUUCUUACAUCUCCCCCUCCGGGAGCCCAGGUAUCAUAUACACCGCCAAAAUAAAGAGCUUCGAACACUAAAAGAAAAGCACCUAGACCUAACAAAAUUAAGUGAAUACGUAGGACCCCUCUAUUACCACUCUCUUAAGAAAAAAAAAACAGCAGCACAUUUUUUUGACUGUUCCUAUGGAGUUGAAAUCUUACCAGCAUCAAAAACGAGUUCCUAAUAUAGAAUAUCUUAUAUAACUAUUUUUCAACCGCAAUUCAGGAUUGGAAUGCAACAUUCCGCUCGAAUCCACCAGUUAUGUAAUCCCCAUGCUAGAUUUUUGACGAGAAGUAGUACUAUGGAAGAAGGCUGAAGUAAAGUAGACUGACAGGGGGAAAGUGGGCUAACCUGCGGAUGAUUCCGUUGGCCGGUGAGGGCAGGAGAUUCCUCGUAGGCACAAGGACGAUGACAGCGAGACCCGUGUGCGUCUGGCGGGCGAGGGGCGUCGCAGCCAGAGGCCAGUGAUGUCUUGUUCGCGGAGGGCAGCCACUGUAGCGUCGGCGUGCGCGCCAGCAUGCGGGAUGUUGUUCGGGGAGAGGCUGGCAGCAGCGUCGGGUGCCCUUUGGAUGAGCUGGGGGGUGGUGACACAGCCAGAUGUUCAGAGGUCUGUGAGGCAUUCCUGGUCGAAACCAUGGCAGACUCGUAGAAGGUCAUAGCGACUCGUGGACAGGCUUCUUAGGUUCACGAGCAUGACGACCACGGCCCGUUGGGGCGUGGAGCGCGGUGUUGGGCUUAGGGUGAGCGAAGGACAGGAGCUGCGGUGGGCAACGAUGUUGGAUCUGCGGUGGUGGCAUGGCGGCGAUGGCCCGGAAACAAUGUGGUCGUGUCGUUGGUCAGGUGGUGCCCCACCCCUCAGUCUUCCCCUCUUUCUUCCUCUCUAUUCCUAUAAUCAAACUCAUGAAACAGUCCCUCUAUUCCAAAUAUGCCACCCCUUUGGCGGUGGCUCUCCAUCCUUUUAUAUAGGGGUCCACAUGGGCCAAGGGUGAAGGACCAUAGGGGAAACCCAAAAUGUCUAUUGGGCCUGACAAGGGUGGCCCCAAAAAAGGAAGGGGGUGAGGGAAGUAAAGAUACUAGCUCCUCCAAUUGGGCCCACUCAUAUGGCCCAAGGAGGAGGUAUUAGGAUAGAUGAGGGCUCAAAAUGGAGUGGGCUGUCCCCUCCAGCCAUAGACCCGACGUGGGCCCAAGGGUUGGGAAGCCCCCUCAAGUGGUGUAGCGGAACUUGGGGUUCCUUGUCCUCACUCAGGCUCUGCGAUCUGGUUGUCGGUGUGGGGGUGGGAUCUCCAUUGUCACCUUGGCCUCAUGCUGUGGUGUCUGCCACCAAGGAGCCUAAGCUUGGAAACAUCAAGAAAGCUUUUAGCAUAAUUUGGGGGUUAAGAGAUGGAUCGGGAACUAGCUCCUUGGAUGGGGAAACGUGAUGUCCCAAUGAUGGGAUAUCAAAAAGCAAUCUAACCUACACUAAAUGUUUGCAUCACCUUGUUGGUCCAAGCAACGUCAUAUCCUCCUAGAGGAGCGGACUGGCCAUCUGAAUGAAGUCAGGAAACUCCUCCAUGCUACUGUCAAUGCCGAAACUGCCACCCUUCUUAUCUGCCAGAAGAAAGGUCAUGUUGAAAUCCCCACCUGGAGAGAUGACAACUGACACACAGAUGACAGUUCUUCCCAUAAGAGUCUAUGCCCAGCUAGAGAGGUUUGGGCAUAAACAGCCGUGACCAUACAUCUCCAAUUUGUUGCUGCAUGAUAGAGCUUUAUAGUUAUGGAAUGCUGACCCUCUCCCUCCAUCUCUGAUUGGCUGGAUCACCUCCUCAAAAUGGCCCAUCACAAGGGAAACGAUAUUUGGAUAAUAGAGUUAUCUAGAUAUUCGUAAAUUUUAUAUGUUAUCAUAGUUCUACUUAGGGCAACACAGGUUGUGCCAUAUCAUAAUUUUUCUUUUCUAUUCAAUGAAAAAUUAAAGCAUGAUAAUUCUAUUAUUUCUAGAAAUACAUAGAGAAGAUACCCGCUUGGUAUCUAUUAUUUGUGUUCUGGGGUUUACGUUUACAUAUAUGUAUGCAUGUUAUGAUUGAAAAUACAAAAAUGAUUCAAAAUCAAAAAGGUUUGAUUUAUGUAUAUUAUAUAGUAUAUUACUUAUAUUAAUAUAAUAAUAAGUAUAUUUUAUUAUUUUAUUAUAUUUAUUAAAAUAUAUUGAUAUUUUAUUUUUGUUAUAUAAUAUAUAGUUUGCUUAUUAAUAGAGUUUGCCUAUAUUAAUAUUGUACUUCCAUUCUAUUGAUACUUAGUGAUAAUUAUUUAUUUUGUUUGUGGUAAAUCAAUUUAAUUUUAUUAAUUUGAAAUUAAAUAAAGAAAUUCCAUUUUUAAAUCCUUCAAUAAUUCAAAGUAAAUUAUGUAGUUAAUGGUUCAAUUUGACUUGCAUUUUUGAGUCAUAAAUCCUUUUUUUCUCUUUUGACUUUUUUUGUUUAUUUUUUCUAUUAUAAAAGUUUUUAAAUGGCAUAACAUAAGUAUAUAUGAAGAUACAAACAAUUGAAGAAAAUAAUCUCAACUAGAUCCAAAAAAACAAAAGAAAAAGAGGAAUUCCUUUUUAGAAAAGGAUAAGUACCCUAUUUGGUCUCCAGUUCAUUGAAACAACUCUUAUUUACAAGCUUUUUGACCAGUUUCACAAAUUUAAUAGGAAAAAACAACUAGUUGAGUAAUCCCCCCAUUAGGAAAAAAGUAGGUAUAUUAUAUAAAAUAAAUAAUUAAAUAUAAAUAAUUUAUAUUUCUAAUAUAAUCUAAAAUAUAAAUAAAGUAUAAUUUAUAUCCAUUUUUUAUUCUUAUGACGACAUGGCCAAGCGAUAAGGCAGAGGACUACAAAUCCUUUAUCCCCAAUUCAAAUCUAGGUGCCACCUGAUCAACAAAAAACUCGAGAUUUCUUAUCAUGCUGAUAGAAACCUAAAUCAAUGAAUUAUUCCCUAACAGAUAUAGGGGUACAAGUUUAGGCCUUGUCAAUACUUGAUUUUAAGAAGGAUCCAUAGGUUCUAGAAAAACAAAGACUGUUUUUCCUCAAAAUAUAGAUUUGAAGUAUGGUCCAAAAAAACCGGUAUUAAUGAGAUAAGAUAAAUCAAAACAUAAAUCAAAUAAAUAUUAAGAGUAACAACCAACUCUGAGAUUCAGACCCAAGAGAAUAAGAGAUCGAUAAUCUUAUCUUAGUAGUGAAAGAAAAGAGACUCUUAAAAAUUGAUGAUAGGAAAGACUAUAAAAUCUUACUAAUUUAAUUACCUUACUGAACAAUACUAGGGGAGUAAGUGUCUACUGAGUCAAUUGGCUAGGCUGAUGGGAAAUUUAUUGAGGAGUUGUGUAAAGGAAUGAAUAAAGAGACAUUAUCUCUAAACUCAUAAGAAAUUCCUAGUGCUCAAUAAUCAAUCAAUAUGAUUCACCAAUAAGAUACGAAGACUUACUUCCCAUUUGGAAUUGCAUAAAAUUUUUUUACAUCUUAGAGGGGUUUACAAAUAAUUCUGGGAAAACGUCAACGGCUGCUAGUGUAUUUGUCAAAGAAAAAUAGAGUAUGUUAUAAGAAAUUAAUUAGUCAGUUGGAUAUUCAGGAUCCGAAAACUUGUUAAUUCGAGGAUUCAUUUGAAUUAUUAUUGUUUUUUUUAGAUUUUAUUUUUUUUAUUGAUGAACCUUGUAUAAAAUAUAUUAUAAUAUAAAUACAUAAAUUAUUAAUUUUUUAUUUUUUGUUAUCUUAUUCAAAUAAAAAAAAUUUAUUUAUUUAUUAUUAUUUUAUAUUUUAAAGAAUAAAAAAGAAUAAAAAUAUUUACGUUAUGAUUUUAUAAACUCACAAACGAAAAAUAAAUGGAAAUUAACAUAAAAGAUAAAUAAAAAAAGAGAUAAGAUGAGAUUCACCCACUUGCUACUAAAUAUUUUAUUGCUUCACUUGCAAAGAAACAUACAACCCCCACACUAUUUGUGAUUCCAUCAAUUAUGUAUCUAUAAAAAAAAUGAGUUAGUUUAGCUAAUGGAAUUUUUUUGAUAUAGUGAGUAAUGGGUGAUGUGACCCUAAGUUAUUAGAAUCAUUAUUCAAUUUUAAUAAUUUAUAAAACUAGAUUCACCAAAAAUAAUAUUAAAUGAAUAUAGUGGUGAGCUAGGUUGUCUCCUCAAGGAAAGCUUUUUAGAAAUCUUCUUAUUCUCUUGUUUAAUGGGUUAUGAAUUUGAUAUUUAAAGUUAUGAAGGAAAUAUAAUUGUAAAUAAAUGUAGAUGCAAAUUUAAACUUAUAUUAAAAUGAAAUAUGCUUUAGAAUGAUGAAAAUGGAAAAGAAAGAUGUAAAGAAAUGAUUAAAGCUAAUAAAAUAAAUUUAUUUCACAUAUCAAACAAGAAAAUAAUGAAAACCUUAUGAAAAAUUAAACUUACAACCCUUAUAAUACAUGGCUUGAUGUCAACCUCUGGUUAGUGCUUCCUAAUCUUACAUUUAGUUCAAUGGAAUGGAUUUAAGGUGAGAAUGGUAGAGGAGAAUGAUCAAAAAUCGACGGUGCAUUCCUUGGAACUCUAUUUUCGCAUGAAAAAGAAGAACAAUUAUUUUCUCUUAAUAACAACUCAAAAAAAACUUAAAAAAGAUCCUCUAUCUUUUUCUUCUAUCAUUUCUAUUCUCUAGAAUGAUAAAUCACACAUUAUUUUUUUAUUUUAUUUUUUUCAGAUUUUUUUUCAGAUUUUUUUGAUUUCUCUGAAUUUUCCUCAAAAUUUUCAGAUUUUCUUGCCAUUGCACUUGAGAAUAAUGGAUAUAUCUGUUUUACCAGAAAAUUAUCUAUAUUUGUAAAUAUGCCCAGCCACAUGCAUAUUCUAAUAUAUCUGGUUUAUCAAAUGAUAACUGAUAUUUGCACAUGUGUCCUCAGCAUGUGUCAAGCUAAGAGUCGUGCGAUUCGUGUGUCGUCAAUCCACAAUAAUCGAUAAGUGAUGUGGCCACUUGUAUGUCGUCAGAUAGUUGUGGCCUUUGAUGAUGUGUCACUCUUCUAUUUGUUAAAUCUAUGACACUAGAAACAUAUUAGAUGAAUGAGAUCUUGGGCCCACAUAGGCCCACUAACUAGUAAGCCCAUUAAACUAUUUUUUAUUCUUAUUUAAUUCAGAAAAUUCUCAGAAAAAUUUUAGAAAAUUUGUUUCAAUAUAAAUAAUUUAUUAAAAAUUAUAAAAAUUUAGCACAACAGAAUUUUAUUUUAAAAAAUAGAGUAAAUGAGAAUUAAGUUUCAAAAUAUGAAAUAAAAUCUCAUCAAUUUUCUUUUUAGUCAUAAAAUAUCAAUUUAAAUCAAGAUUUUAGGAGGUUCAUCAAAAUGAGAAAAUUAAAUAAUUAACAUGAUAACUUGUGAAAUAAUUCUCAAAUAUGUAUUAUUCUCCUUGAUUUAAUGACACAUUAACAUAUAAUUUUCACAAGUUAUCACACCCCCUAACUUGAAUCAUUGCUAGUCCCUUAGCAAUGAAAAUAAAACGUGUUUAAAAAUUUAAGAAACAUCAUCAAAUAAUCAUGGAUCAAUAAUAUACCAAAGCUAAUGUGAAGAAACCUUCUCUAAUGAAUAUAUGAUUUAUGUCAAGCAUAAUUAGACAAACCACCUUUUGUAACAAAGUAUUUCUCAAGAUAUAUUCUUCAAAACAUUUUCAUGAACUUAAGCAUGCUUCUCAAUACUCUACAUAUAAUAAUAAUUGUACUACAUAAAUAAAGGAAAGAAUUCACCUCAUCAAGAAAUAACAUUGAUAGAUACCUUACACUAUCAAAAAUAUGCAUGCGAUAGAGAUUAUGUCAAAUCUUAUAUAUAAAUGGCUAAGGCACAUGGAAAGUAAUUUUAAAAAUCAUUGAAUAACUAAUGGGGUUUUAUCCUUAGUACUUGAUAUGAGAGAAAUGCCCAGGUAUCUCAUAGUGCACCCCAUGUGCUUUCCUUUGAUUCUACCCCUUGCAACCUCUUUUUUGUUUCUUCAUUUGAAUACUUGCUACAAAAGAGAUACCAUGAUGUCUCACAGCAUAUUCCCUAUGCUUUCUUCAAGUUCAACAUAUUUUUAUUAUAAAUAAUUAUAAUAUUCUUUCCAUGUGUUGCCCUAAUUAAAUAUGCAGCUUAUUUCCCCGAAGAGGUUUUGUAUCCCUCUGUAAUUUAGGGGGCUUCACUUUGUCAUAAAUACUAGUUGCCAAAGAAAUUGACAAAAGCUCUAUCUCAUGCUAAAAAAAAUUGAUUUUCAUGCAAGGUUUGAUUACACUAUAUCAUGAGAGGUGAAUGAGUAAGAUGAGAAGUCUAAGAAUAAGAAAAAAAAUCAUAAAUGUAACUAUGAGUUUGAGAUGUGUGCUUCAAUUCACUUCCAUGUUUUUAACUCACCCUAGGGAAAUAUUUGGACCUUUAGUUUGACAUAAAACUUAUAACAUAAAAUAAGUUCUUCAUCUUGCUCAUCUAUAAAUCAAUCUAUAAUGUAGUCGAUGAUGUGUUGUUUAUUUGACUAUUUUCAUCAUUAAUAUGCAAGAAAUCAUAAAUAAUUUGUCAUAAACUCAUUUUCAUGCACCAAAUUAUACCUAUGAGUUUUUCUAAAUUUACUCAUUAUCCCCCAACUUAGUUGUUUUAUUGUCCCCAAUAAAAUAUGCUAUUGAGAUUAUAAAAGAAAUGAGCAUCAUAGCAUUCAUCUCAAGUAUGAAAUAUCAAUGAAGGAAAGUUUAGAAAAACUCAUUGAAUAGUCGUAGAUGAUUCUUCAGCUCCCUGAAUUUUUUGUUGGUGAUAUCUAAUCAGUGCUUCAAAUUUUCUAAAAAGGGGAAUCAUUGACAAAAAUAUAAAGAUAGUAAGAUUUUCAAAUAAAAGUAUAACAUGAUGGUUGAAAUAUGAAAGGGUGGAGAGUUGAUACCUUAUUUAUUGAAGUAGAUAAAAACUAUAGAAAAUAAAAUUAGCUUUUGAACUAAAAUAAAUCAAUCUAGAGACAAAUUAAAAUGACAAAAAUAAAAAUUAUUGGGUUGCCUCCCAACUAAGUGCUUGUUUUUACAUGUUCAGAAUGACAUAACCUAGUUCAUACUAAGAGAUGAUCUAUUGCCAUCAAAAUAUAUUUGUAUCCCAAAGAAGGUUUUAUAAUGUUCUUUUUGAAGGUAUCGAAAAGUCUCAUCAAAAUAGAUAAAUCAUUGGACAUGCAUAUAUUUGUGAAAGUGUUACAAGAUGAAAAGAAUUCUUCAAAUAAGGAAAUAUAAUUUUCAAAACUUUUGGUCCAAAGAUCUUAUCUGACAAAUAGAUUUUAUUUUCUUUAAAAACAUACCUUGGGAUAGUUUCAACUGUCAAGAUAUGAGACAAAAUAUUCUCAAAAAUAGUAGUUCCACUUGGAAAAGAAUUUUUCCUUAUUUUUGUCUUGUUCAAUAGGGUUUUCGUCCAUUUUGGAAUAUUUUUUAUUGAUGCAAAAUGAUGUUGUACCAAAGAGAGAGUAUUUUGCCAAGUACAAAGCUAGAAACUUAGGAGUUGUCAAGAUGGAGAACGAAGGGACAAUAAAUAUCAUUGGUAUCAGUGAUGUCCACAUUAAGACAAGUCUUUCUAUGAAUUGGAGUUAAAGAAUGUGAGACAUGUGGCAAGUUUAAGAUUGAAUUUAAUGUCAAUUAGAAUGCUUGAUGACAAUAACUUUCAUGGCGAUACAAGUGAUUGGAAAAUCACUAAGGGUUCACUUAUUGUAGCUUUUGGAAAAAAGUACAGUACCUUAUAAAAAAUACAAGCUGUAGGCUACGGUGAUUAGAUAAAUGCCAUGAAAAAGGAUUUUAGUAUAGAAUUGUGGCGUAAGAGGCUAAGAGACAUGAGUGAGAAGGGAUUGCAAACUCUCAAGGAAGGAAGUCUUACCCAAGUUCAAAGGUAUUCGAUUGAACUCAUGUAUUGAUUGUUUGGUUGGCAAACAACAUAAAGUUUUUUUUUCUAGUCCACCUUUGCCUAGAAAAUUACAUAUUUUGGAGCAAGUCUAUACAGAUGUGUGUGAUCUAUUGAGGACAAAGAUUAUUGAUGAUACUAUUGAUAUUUAUAGUAUUAGUGGUACAUUAUACUUUGUCACUUUCAUUUAUGACAAUUCUAGUAAAGUUUCAUCAUAUCCUUUGAAGACUAAAGAUCAAGUUAUUGACGUGUUCAAAGAGUUUAAUGUCAAGGUGGAGAAGGAGACUAAUAGAAAGUUAAAAUACAUAAGAUCUGAUAAUGGUGGUGAAUAUAUGGGCUUGUUUGAUGAAUAUUGUAGGAAGCAAGGUAUUAUUCAUGAGAUGAUAGUCCUAAGCACUCCUCAACACAAUAUUAUUGUGGAGAGGAUGAAUUGUACCAUUAUGGAGAAGAUCAAGAGUAUGUUUUCACUUGCCAAAUUACCUAAAAAGUUUUGAGAUGAGGUGUUGAAGAUAGCUAUUGAUCUCAUUAACCUAUCUCCAUGUAUGCCUUUAGAUGAAAAUGUUGCAGUUAAUGUAUAAAUAAGAAAAAAUGUUUCUUACAAACACUUAAGAGUGUUCGAUUGUCAUACAUUCACAUUGUUCUUGUCAUAGAAAGGUCCAAAUUAGAUGGGAAGACAAAGGAGUGUAUUUUUCUUGGAUACCCAUGUGACAAGUUUGGUUACAAGUUAUGGGAUCCAAUGAAGUAAAAGGUGUUCCGAAGUCGAGACAUAACCUUCUUUAAAGAUUAGAAUAUUGAAGAUAUAAAGAAGGUUCUAGUGGUCAAAAAUUCUAUAAAAGUAUUUAUAAAUUAUGACCAAGUCAUCCAUUAUGAGCGCCAUGAUGGAGGGGAAGAAUUGUAAGAAGAAAGGACUGAAGUUGAUGCAGAUUUACUUACGAGAUAAGAAGAGGAGCAAGGAGGAGAGCUAUCUCUAAUAGAGCCUCAUCUUAGAAGGUCUAGUAGAUAGCAUUAAUCUUCACGAAGAUAUCCAUAAGAUGAAUAUAUUAUACUUAUUGUUGUAGGUGAACCAAAAAGUUAUUAAGACAUAUUAAAAAGUGAGCAUACUAAAGAAUGGUUGAUAGCUAUCUAUGAAGAAAUGGAAGUAUUACAGAAAAAUCAAACAUAUGAUCUUGUGGAGCUACCCAAUGAAAAGAAAAUAUUGAAGAACAAGUGGGUUUUCAAGUUAAAGACUCAAGAACAUACUUCAGUGUCAAAGUAUAAGGCCAAAUUAGUUGUCAAAGACUUCAAUCAAGUGCAAGGUAUUAACUUUGAUGAAAUAUUCUCUUUUAUUGUGAAAAUAUCUUCUAUUCGUGUUGCUCUAGGCAUGGCUACCACUAUGUACUUAAAGGUCGAGUAGUUAGAUGUAAAGACAAUAUUUCUUCAUAGUGAUUUGGAAGAGGAUAUUUACAUUGAGCAAUCAAAAAACUUUAAGAUAGAAAGAAAAGAGCAUCUAGUGUGCAAAUUAAAGAAGAGCUUGUAUGGACUAAAGCAAGAGCCAAGAUAGUGGUACAAAAAGUUUGAUUCAUUUAUGACUAAAAAUAGAUACAAAUAUACUUCUACAGACUAUUGUGCAUACAUUAAGAAGUUCAAUAAAAGUUUUAUGAUUCUGUUAUUAUAUGUUGACAAUAUACUUAUCUUUAGGAAAUAUUUGCCAACAAUUAACAGGUUGAAGAAGGAGUUGAACAAGUCAUUUGCUAUGAAGGACAUGGAGCCAGCAAAGCAAAUACAUGGUAUGCAGAUUUUUCGUGACAGGAAAGCCAAGAAGAUUUGGUUGUCAAAAGAAAAAUAUAUCAAGAAAGUGUUUGACAGGUUUAGUAUUUUUGCAAAACUUGUUUGUUCUCCUUUGAUAAAUCACUUUAAACUUUCUACAAAAUAAAAUCCGUCAAGUGAUGAGGAGAAGCAGAAGAUAAAUAGAGUACCUUACACUUCAGUCGUUGGGAGUUUGAUGUAUAUAAUGAUAUGUAUAAGACCAAAUAUUGCAUAUGUAGUGGGUGUUGCAAGCAGAUUUCUUACAAAUCUAGGAAAGGAGCACUGGGCAGCAGUAAAGUAGAUAUUUAGAUAUCUCAAAGGGAGCUCUAAAGUUUGUCUAAGCUUUGGAGAUGGUGCCCUUAUAUUGGCAAGAUAUACAGAUGCUGAUAUGGCCAAAGAUGUUGACAUAGAAGUCUACUUCCGGCUAUAUAGUUACUUUUGUAAGGAGAGCUGCGUCAUGAUAGUCCAGAUUAUAAAAAUGUAUUGCUUUGUCAAUUAUAAAAACUGAAUAUAUUAUUAUUAUAAAAGUUUGUAAAUGUUAUGUGACAUGAAUUAAUCGUUGUAUAAUAAAUCAUGUAAAUUUAAAAUUGACGUAACGAAACUAUUGGUGAUGACCCUUUGAGUUGAGUGGAUAUUGAGGUUGAUGGAAGAUGGGUUGAAAUCAUGACUUGAAUCCUCAAAAGUCGAGAUUUCUAGUGAAGCCUCCUUGUCUUGAAUUCACAAAACGAAGAAGCUAUUCUCUUGGUGCUCAAGGGCGGAUCUUGAAUCCACAAAACCAACGAACUAACUCCUAGAGUCCACAGGGAUGCUGGAGUCCACCAGCAGAAGGGAGAAACUCUCAAGGAGAAGAAACUCACAAAAUUCUAUUCAUAAAAAUAAGUUCAAUGCCCUUGGGCUAUAUGGGGCGUCCUUAAAUAGGCUAGAGCUUGUGAAAAGGGCGCCAACUUUGAAUUUCAAACGAAAUUUAAAAAUUAGGAGGGAAUUACAUUUGAGAAAGUUUUUGAAAUAGAAAUGGGCUUAAAAUAGAACGAAAUAGGCUUUUCUAAAAGGUGGUGUAAAGGCAUGUGACAGUUAUGAAAGGAAAAUGAAUAGAGGAAAGAAGAGAAAUAGAAAGAGGCUUUAAAUAGGCUAAAAUAGGAAGGGUUGAAUAAAGAAUGGGAUUUAUGGUGGCAACAAUAGGAUGAGAUCUAAAAUAGAAGGUAGAUGAGCUAGUGUAAAGGGUUCUAAAAAUAGAAGGGUCUAAAAAUAGAAAGUUCUAAAACUAGAAGGUUCUAAAAAUAGAAAGUUGAUCUUCAAGUCUUGAAGUCUUCUCCGCCAGUGGAUGUGAUAUUGGCUGCAUCAAAAAUUUAUAAAACUAGAAAAUAUCAAUUCUUGGAAUUUUAAAUGUUUAUCAGAGUGAAUAAAUCAAUUAUAAAUCAAUAAAAGAUUCCAAAAAUAGUAAGAAAUUUCCAAGUCGAUCAUAGGGAUGUAAUAUAAUAUCGAGUAAUAUUUCAAAAUUUUUUUAAAAUAAUAUAACUUUUUUAUGAUUAUUUCUUAAUUGAAUGAUAAAUAUAAUAUAUUUAAGAAAUGCAAAAAAUAAAUAAGGUAAUGACGUCAAGUGAUGUCAGUGCCUGAAGAACACGAAUCGGGCGAAAACAGAGUUCUGACCUACGAUUCUUUUGUAAGUGAUUACUAUCAAAUUAAUAGAUCAAAUUUAGUUUUGUAAAAGCUCGAAGAAUCGUAACUCAAGUAAGAAAUAUAUUGGAUGUUGAAAUCGUGUCAAAGAUUACUAAUUUAAAUGAAAAUAAAGUUUAAAAUAGGAAAAACAGAGUUCCGACUUCGCAGCAGCGAUCGCCGGAAUUCUGUGUGUUCAGAAAAGAAAUUGUGCAAUGUCCACGGCCUCAAAGGCUCUCCUUGGACAAAGACGAUGUGGGUGAUCUCUAGAACUUCUUUCGAAGCCCAUAAAUCGGUGGAAUGGAUCGCCAAAUCGUUUUCGGUGGCUGUCACCGAGCGGAACAGAAAUAUGGUGACUUGUGGCUGUCUGGUGACUCACUCAAUGGAGGUGUACUAAAUGGAGGUGGGGCAUGUCUCAAGGGCUUCGUACUCAAGUUAGCGCAAUGAGAAGAGGCCCUUUAUCACAUCUGGUACGCUCUCAGGAGGUGGCGACUCGUCUCCCGGCAGAUCGUCCUCUUCCUAGCGACGGCUUGUUCGUCGAUCAAGCGGAGAUGAUUUCUUCGUUAAGUUCGCAAUAUUUUGUCCAAAAUCUUACACCAAUUUCGGUCACGAUGCUCCACAAAUUGCAUUAACUAAGUUUUUGCUGAAUUUUUUAUGAUUUUUGCAGCUUAAUCGCUCUCCGGAAAUCGCAAUUUCUUCGUUGGUUGUCCGCUUGUGAGAGAGAGAAAGAGGGAGAGAUGAGAUAAGUACUAAAAUGCCCUCAAUGUAUGACAUCAUAAGGAUAAUUUUAUAAUACUCAAUGAGAGGCAUUUUUGGCAUUUAGAAAAUAUGCAAGAAAAAGUAAGGUGCCGGGUUAGUCCCACAUCUGUUUUCUAGGCGAUUUUCAUGCACGUAUAUUAUAGGCACUUCUUUAGCCAUCAAUAGGUACAAAUCAACCACGUGUGUACGAACACUCCUUGCCCCAUGCUCGGCUGGCCACUGGUGACGUGGAAGGGGAGUGACGCACAUGUCAAUCGCUUGAGCUCGCAGUCCUUAGCCGCUCAGCGGCUCUGCUCAAUUGGGCCUCCCACCCGCUUGCGGGCCCGGGUGGCUGGCAGAUUUUUUUACUUUUUUCUUAAAUAUUUUUUUCAUUUCUCUCAACAAAAUAAAAUUAUAAAAUCAUGGAAUUAAGCAAAAAUUCAUAUUAGUCAACUAGAAACUACUUUUCAUAACUUAACACAAAAAUAAGUCUAUUUAUCAUGAGUUAAGACUAAAAAUAUCAUCUUACUAAAUUAUUAAUUCAUGAUAAUGAAAACUUAUCACACCCCCCAACUUAAGUCAUUGCUAGUCCCUUAGUAAUGGAAUUAAAAAUAUAAUUAUCGUUUAGAAAUUUCAGACAUCAUAUUUCAAUACACAAAAUAUAAUUAAAAAUAAUGAACCUCUAGAUAUUUUGAAUUAUUUUAUCAAUUAUUGAAGAAAGAUAUCAAGCUCUUAAAUGUCUAAACACUCCUUGGAAUAAUAAUAUAACUUUCACUUCUUCAGUCUACAUCUUUAUCAUUUCUUUACUCAUAGAUAUAAUUCAUAAGAUGGUCCAAUUAUCAAAAAUCAUCCAAGCAUAAUAUCGAUCCUACCUUUCCCUUCCCUAUGGCUUGAUUUUUUAAGUUUGCACUACAUUUCUUCUUUUUUUUUUCAUGGUAAAUAAGUAACUUUUUCUGUAAACAAAUUUUGACAAUGAGAAUGAUGUUUCACACCCUCCAUGUGUACUCUUCAUUUCCAGGGCUUUCACAUUAUCCACUUAUUUUGUAGCAAGUGUUUAUCAUUUUCAAAUUAUUUUUCACACUACUCUUUUUUUUUUCUAUUUUUUGAAACAAGUGAUUUAUUCUCAGAAGUCCUAUAGAUCAGGGUGUAAAAAUCUCCAUUAAACUCAAAUGAUCAAUCAAAUUUUCUCAUCAAGUAAAUUCUAUCCAUCAAGAUCAUGAAGUAAAAAAUUUGUAAAAUCAAAUCCAUGUUAUCUAUAAUGUAUCCAAGGAGUAUUUCAACAUUUCAGGCUAUUCAUUCAUUCUCUUAACUCAAUAAUAAUCAUCCUAAUAUCCUUUGGUAUCAAUCAGUUUAAUUGAUUUAAUUUUUUCGUGCACAUAAUAUGAUGUAAAAAAUUAGAUAGUUCUGAAAAUUAUGCCUCUAUUUCAGUUCUAUCAAUUCUAUUUUAAGCAACAAUCUAUUUGUAAAAAUAAUAAAUCAAAACUAUCAUUUUCAUAAUAGUAAUUCCGAAUUUCAACAAUAUAUGCCUAAGGGUUUGAAAUGUGAGAAAAAGGUCUCUAAAAUUUUAAGUUUCGAACUAUUUUUAUUUUUUUUUCUGCUGGUUUUUGACAGUCUACACUCUGCACUAUUUUCUAUUAUUUCUAACAUAACUAGGAAAUCAACACUAUAUUUUUUUCAAAAAAUUACUCUUAUAGAUGAUAAAAAAUUACCAACACAUGUUCUUGUUCAGUCUACAACAUUUAGACUUAAUAUCUUCAUCACCUUAGCCCCCCAACUUAAAUUUGACAUUGUCCCUAAUGACACAAAUUACAAAAAAUGUAAUUUUCAAUCAAGUAUGCAUAUAAGUAAAAUUAAGCACGAAAAAUACUAUAAUAAAGGAUCAAGUUCAGGAACAUAUAAUCUUAGGCUCACUUUCAAUUUCCCACUUCGUCUUACACUCUUCCUCUUGCACUUUUAUUCUUUUUUUUUUAAAGAAGAAAAUAAUACAAAAAAAUAGAUGCUGCGAAAUUCAACAAAAGUAAAGCACUAAUUUAAAGAGAACCAUGGGUUGCCUCCCAUACAACAUUGAGUUUAAUGUCUUUAGUUGGACACACUAAUUUCAUUCUCGAAUUUCUUUUAAUAAUAAAAUCUCUUUUUCUGCAGGGCAUUCAUAUUCUAUGUAAGGUUUAAGCCUCUGUCCAUUUACUUUAAAACUAUGAUCAUUUUUAAUAUCUCUAAUCAUUUUAGCUCCAUGAUCAUAUAUUUCUUCCACCACAUAAGGUCCUGUCUAUUUUGAUUUCAAUUUUCUUAGAAAUAGUUUCAAUCUAGAAUCAUAUAACCAUACUUUUUAUCCAACUUCAAAAAUUUUUCUACUGAUGUACCUAUCAUAAAAGAUUUUAGUUUUUUCUUUAUAAAUUCUAUGAUUUUCGUAAGCUUCAUUCCUUAACUCUUUUAAUUCAUGUAGUUGAAAAAUUCUGUGCUCACCAGCUAAUUUUUCAUUCAUACAUAAAUUUUUUAUAGCCCAUAAUACUUUAUGUUCUAUUUCCACCAGAAGAUGACAUGGUUUCCUAAAAAUGAGACGAAAUGGAAACAUACCUAUGGGAUUUUUAUAAGCUGUUCUAUAUGCCCAUAAUGUAUCUUGUAAUUUUGUGGGUCAAUCCUUCCUAUCUGGUCUAACUAUUUUUCUCAAAAUUCUCUGAAUUUCUCUAUUUGUUACUUCAGCUUACCCAUUUGUUUGGAGAUGAUAUGGAGUGGCUACUCUAUGAUGUACUCUAUUUUUUUUCAAUAGUUCCCUGAAAUGUCUAUUUGUAAAAUAUGUUCCUCCAUCACUAAUAAUCACUCUAGUACAUCUAAAUCUUAAAAAAAUAUUUUCCUACACAAAUUUCAUCAUAAUGUUAUGAUCAUUAGUUCUAGUAAGAAUAGCUUCCACCCAUUUAGACACAUAAUCAACAACAAGCAAGAUAUAUUCAUAUUUUUAGCUGAUGGGAAUUGAUCCAUGAAAUCUAUACCCCAUACAUCAAAAAUUUUAACAACUAACAUAUUACUCAUAGGCAUUUCAUCUCUUUUAUUUAAGUUACCUAUAGAUUGGCAUGAAAUGUAUGUUUUAUUAAAUUCUAUAACAUCUUUAACUAUUGUAGGCCAAUAAAAACCACAUUGAAAAAUUUUCACAGCUAUUUUUCUACUAGAAAAUGUCUUCCACAGUUAAAUGAAUGACAUAUUUUAAGAAUGCUAUGAUAUUCUUCUUCAGGAACACAUCUUCUAAGAAUUUGAUCAUUACCCAAGUAAUAUAAAUUAAGAUCAUGCCAAAAAUAAUUUCUAAUCUUAGUAAAGAAAUGAUUUUUUCUAUUCUUAUCCCACUGUUCUGGAAUUUUUCUAAAAAUCAAAAAAUUAACAAUAUGUGCAUACCAUAGUGAUGGUUGAUGUUGAGCUCCCAUCAAUUACUUAUUUGGAAAUGUAUCUAGUAAAGGUACUGUAUUUGUUCCUAUAUCACUCAAUCUAAAAAGAUGGUCAGCAACAAUAUUUUCGAAUCCUUUUCUAUCUUUUAUUUCCAAAUCAAAUUCUUGCAAUAAUAAUAUCUAUCUUAAUAAAUGUGGCUUUGCAUCUUUCUUAUUAAGUAAAUAUUUUAAUGCUACAUGAUCAGUAUAAAUGAUGAUUUUAGCUCCUAAAAUACAUGAUCUAAAUCUUUCUAAUAAAAAUACUACGGCUAACAACUAUUUUUCAGUUGUGAUAUAAUUUAAUUGAGCAUCAGAAAUAAUUUUGCUAGCAUAUGAAAUAACUAUGGGUUUUGACUCUUUUUUUUGUCCUAAAACAACUCUUACUACAUAAUUUGAUGCAUCACACAUUAUUUCAAAUGGAAGAAACCAAUCAGGAGCUUGUAAAAUAGGUGCCUCAAUAAGUAAUCUUUUUAUUUUAGAAAAAAAUUCAAAACAUUUCUCAUCAAAAUUAAAAGACACAUCUUUAGAUAAUAACAUGAUGAGAGGUUUAGAAAUUUUCAAAAAAUCUUGAAUAAAUUUUCUAUAAUAACUUGCAUGUCCUAAGAAAGAUAUAAUCUGUUUUAAUGAAUUUGGGGGUUACAUUUUAGAUAUAAUAUCAAUUUUCACUUUAUCUACCUCCAAACCUCUUUCACUCACAAUAUGUCCCAACACAACUCAUUCUCUAACCAUAAAAUACGAUUUCUCCUAACUCAAAACUAACUUUUUCUCUAUACAUUUCUUUAGCACAUGCUGUAAAUGAUUUAGACAUUCAUGAAAUGAUUCACCAAAAAUAGAAAAAUCAUUCAUAAAAAUUUCCAUGCAUUUUUCAAUCAUAUUAGAAAAAAUAGACAACAUAUAUCUUUGAAAUAUAGCUGGAGUAGUACAUAAUCUAAAGGGCAUGCGUUUAAAAACAAAAGUACCAAAUGGACAAGUAAAAGUCAUUUUUUCUUAAUCUAAAGGAUUUAUAUAAAUUUGAUUAUAACCAAAAUAUCCAUCUAUAAAACAAAAGAAUCUUUUUCCAGCUAGUUUUUCAAGAAUUUGAUUAGUAAAUGAUAGAGAAAAAUGAUCUUUUCUAGUUACUAAAUUUAAUUUUCUAUAAUCAGUACAAACCCUCCAACCAGUGGUUAAUCUUGUUUGUAUUUCCUCCCUAUUUUCAUUUUUUAUAACCAUGAUUCCUAAUUUCUUUGGUACCACCUGUGUAGGACUAACCCAUUUACUAUCUGAAAUAGGAUAAAUAAUAUCAGCAGGCAACCAUUUUAAAAUUUCUUUUUUACCACUUCCAUCAUGUUAGGAUUUAAUCUUCUUUGUGGUUCUCUACUUGGUCUAGCUCCUUCCUCUAAAUAUAUAUUAUGUUUACACAUUCAUAUCAAUGCCUCUAAGAUCAUCUAUUUUCCAGUCAAUAGCUUUCUUAUUUUUUUGAAUUACUUCUAUUAAUUCUUCUUCUUGCUCAUUAUUCAAAUCAGCUACAACUAUGAUAGGGAAUGAGUUAUUUUCCUCAAGAAAUACAUAUUUUAAAUUAGAAGGAAGAGGUUUUAGCUCUAAAUUUGUGUGAUCUUCUUCUUUCUUCUCCCCUAUAUUUAAGUUUUCAAUUUCCUUUAAUUCUUCCAUCACACAAUCAUCAAUAAUAUCUAGACCAUCAAAAUCAUCUAAAACUUUUAUGGUAUGACAAUCAUACACUUGAGAUUUCUUAAGAUCAUUUGAUACCUCAAAGAUUUUAAUUUCUACUGAUUGAUCUCCACAUGAAAUUUUUGCAAUACCUAUGGGGAAAUCAAUAUUCAUCUUUACUGUAUGUAAGAAUGGUCUCUCUAAGAUAAUUGAGGUAUCAUUAACUGUCCAUUAAAAUUCAUUUCUAGUACUACAAAAUCAGUUGGAAAUUUACAUCCUUUCACUAUUACUAUCACAUUUUCUAAAAUAACUUUAGGAUUUUUAAUUGAUCUAUCAGAAAAUUGUAAUGUGAUAGUAGAUGGUUUAAGAUCAGAAAUAUUAAAUUUAUCACAAAUACUUGUAGAUAAUAAAUUAAUAUUAGCACCGGUAUCAAGCAAUACAUUAUGAAAAAUAAAUCUACCAAUAUCACACGAAAUUAAAGGAGCACAAAUAUCUUUUGAUUUAUAUGAAACUUGAUUUAAUAACAAAGCACUAGCAUGCAUAGAUAAUUUUUCUACUCUAGGUGCUCUCUUUGGUGUACAAAUUUCUUUUAAAACUCUAGCAUAUUCAAGAAUAUAUUCAAUUGCAGUAAGAAAGGAAGACUAAUUUACACAUCUUGUAAAAUUUUCUUUAUUUUUUUAUUAUGUUCCUUUUUCUUUCUUUGUCUAGGUUCUAGAACUUUAGGAAAUGGAAUUUUCAUUCUUUCUUUCAGAUUUUCAUUGGUAGAAUCUAAAAAUUCUUUAUUUUCUUCUUCUUGAUUUUGUUUUAGACUGUCCACCUUUUCCUCUUCUUCUACUAUUUGGGGAUAAAGAUUAGGUAAAAUUUUUCCACUCCUUAAUACAUUUAUUGUCCUAACAUUAUCAUUUCGUGAGUUUUUUCCUAAGUUCAUGCCACUAGACUCUCCUUGUUGAAAUCUAACAGUUGGGCAUUUUCUUGGAUUUUCUAUGGGCUGACUAAGUAGUUGUCCCUCUUUUCUCCUAUUCCCAAGAGCCUCUAUAAUUUGUUUUUGUUACAACAUCCUUUGAUUUAUAGUUUGCUGCAUCAUUUGACUCAUUUGCUCCAUCAUUUCUAUAGCAUCAGAUUGAGUAUGAGAGGGUUGAAUUUUUUGAAAUCUGUUUUCUUAUUUUGGACAAAAUUCAGAAUUUAAAUUGGGUCUAAGUGCUUUGAGAUUUUAAAUAUUAUUUGGGUCUCUCCAUGAAAAGUUAUAAUCAUGUUAUGAUUAUAAGAAUUAAGAAAAGGCUCCCAAUUUCUAUUAAAAUCGUGGGUUAUUUGUACUUGUUCUUGCAUAGGCUGAAAUGAUUGAUCUCAAUUAUAACAUUGAAAUUUGGAAUGCUCAUUUUCACCAUGUAUAGGAUAUGAAUUAUUUGAACUAAAUUGAGGAUUAGGAAGCUUCUAAAAAUUUUCAAUAAAUACAUCAAGCUUAUCUAAUUUUGUAUUAAUCUGAGUAACCUCAUUUCUUAGAUUAAAAUCAUCUUGAUAAUAGAAUUUAUACAUUCCUCUCCACUUAUCCCUAUCAUAUAACUCAAAAGAAGUUUGAUCUCUCAAAUUUUCACUUAAAUUUUCAUAAAGGCUAUAAAUCUCAUCAGAAGUCUUCUCUAUAAAUAGUCCUCCACAUAUAGAAUCAACCAUAUUUCUAUGUUAUUUUAAUAAUCCAUCAUAAAAAAUUCUAUUGAGUUGCCACUUAGGUAUAGCAUGAUGAGGACAUUUUCUAAGUAAAUCUUUGAAUUUUUCUCAUAUUUCAUGCAAAGUUUCUCUUGACCUUUGAGCAAAAUCCAUAUAUAUUUUCUCAUGUUUUGAGUUUUUCCUAAAGGGUAAAAUUUUCAAAGAAAAGCAUGUUCUAUAUCUUUCCAACUAGUUAAUUCUCUAUCUAAGGUAGAUAGCCAAUAACUAGCCUUAUCUCUAAGUGUGUGAGGAAAUAAUUUCAUCUUAAUAAUUUUCGGUGUAACUUGAGGAAGAUUAAAUAAAUCACAUAUCAUAUGAAAUUUUUCUAAAUGCUGAUGAGGCUCCUCUAAAGGUAAUCUAUGAAAAUUAGGAAGCAUUUGGAAAAUUCUUGGAUUUAUUUCAAAUUUAAUAAUGGGUGCUAAUAGAACUCUAAUAUUAUAUACUCUUUGAAAUGAAUCAGGGAUAUAAUGAUUUUUCAUGGCCAUAGGAUUGUUCUCAAUUUGACUUGUGUUACCUUCAGGAUCCAUCGAAAUUAAUUUUUCUUUAGAAUUUUUAAUUUUUGUCAAGAUAAUGAGAGGAUUCUCUAGUCUUGGAUGUAAAGAUCUUAUACCAUGCAUAAAAAUAAAUAAAUUCGAGGCAAAAAAUUUUAAUAAUUGUUACCCUCCUUCAGUUUGCUCAUAUCCUUGCUCUGUUACUCUUCGUGCUACUCUUUCUUUUUUUUUUCUAUAAGAUAAAAAAUAAAAACAAGAGUUAUAUAUAUUUUUUUAUAUUCUAAAAUAAAAAUAUAAAAUUACCAAAUAUUAUGUAAUACAUUUCUAGCAACAAUGCCAAAAUUUGACCUGAAUUAAUCGUUGUAUAAUAAAUCAUGCAAAAUUUAAAAUUUAUAAAACUAGAAAAGACCAAUUCUUGGAAUUUUAAAUGUUUAUCAGAGUGAAUAAAUUAAUUAUAAAUCUAUAAAAUAUUCCAAAAAUAGUGGGAAAUUUCUAGGUCGAUCAUAGGGAUGUAAUAUAAUAUCAGGUAAUAUUUUACAAUUUUCCUGAAGGAAUAUAAUUUUUUUAUGAUUAUUUUUUAAUUAAAUGAUAAAUAUAAUCUAUUUAAUAAAUGCGAAAAGGAAAUAAGCCAAUGACGUCAUGUGACAUUAGUGCCUGAAGAACACAAAUAUGGCGGAAAUAGAGUUCCGACCUAUGAUUCUUUCGUAAGCGAUUACUAUCAAAUUAAUAGAUCAAAUUUAGUUCUAUAAAAGCCCGAAGAAUCAUAACUCAAGUAAGAAAUAUAUUGGAUCUUGAAAUCGUGUCAAAUAUUACUAAUUUAAAUGAAAAUAAAGUUUAGAACAGGAAAAACAGAGUUCUGACUUUGUGGCGGCAAUCGCCAGAAUUCUACGUGUUUAAAAAAGAAAUCAUACAAUGUCCAUAGCCUCAAAGGCUCUCCUUGGACAAAGACGAUGUCGGUGAUCUCUAAAACUUCUUUUGAAGCCCAAAAAUCAGUGGAAUGGAUCGCCAAAUUAUUUCCGGCGGCUAUCACCUGGCGGAACAGAAAUACGGCGACUUGCAGCUGUCCGGCGACUGUCACUCGACGGAGGUGUGCUGGAUGGAGGUGGGGCGCGUCUUAGGGGCUUCGUCCUUAAGUCAGCGCAGUGAGAGGAGGCCUUUUAUCGCAUUUGGUAUGCUCUCAGGAGGAUGCGACUCGUCUCCUGGCGGAUCAUCCUCUUCCUGGCGACGGCUUGUUCAUCGAUCAAGUGUAGAUGAUUUCUUCGUUGAGUUCGCGAUGUUUUAUCCAGAAUCCUACACCAAUUUCGGCCAUGAUGUUCCGCGAAUCGUGUUGACUAAGUUUUUGCUGAAUUUUUUAUGAUUUUUGCAGCUUAAUCGCUCUCCGGAAAUCGUGAUUUUUUUGCCGGUUGUCUGCCUGCGAGAGAGAGAAAGAGGGAGAGAUGAGAUAAGUACUAAAAUGUCCUCAAUGUAUGACGUCAUAAGGAUAAUUUUAUAAUGGUCAGUGAGGGGCAUUUUUGGCAUUUAAAAAAUAUGCGAGAAAAAGUAAGGUGCCGGGUUUAGUCCCACAUUGGUUUUCUGGGCAAUUUUCACGCGCAUAUAUUAUGGGCGCUUCUUUAGCUAUCAAUAGGUACAAAUCACCUGCGUGUGUACGAACACUCCUUGCCUCACGCCUGGCUGGCCACCGGUGACGUGGAAAGGGAGUGACGCACAUGUCAGCCGCUUGAGCACCUAGCUCGUGGUCCGCUCCGGCAGCCGCUUGAGCCUCAAGCUCACGGUCUGGUCCUUAGCCACUCGAGCCUUGAACUCGCAAUCCUUAGCCGCUCAGCGGCUCCACCCGACUAGGCCUCCCACCCACUUGCAGGCCCAGGUGGCCGGCAGAUUUUUUGCUUUUUCCUUAAAUAUUUUUUUCAUUUCUCUCAACAAAAUAAAAUUAUAAAAUCAUGUAAUUAAGCAAAUUUUCAUAUUAAUCAAUUAGAAACUACUUUUCAUGACUUAACACAAAAAUAAAUCUAUUUACAAUGAGUUAAGACUAAAAAUAUUAUCUUACUAAAUUAUUAACUCAUGAUAAUGAAGACUUAUCAUUAUGUAUGAAAGAAUUCUCAUGAAAAUUAGGACUAAUGCAAGAAGAAUAUGUGGUCUUUUGCAAUAGUUAAAGUGCUAUUCAUUUGAGCAAGAACCCCACAUUUCAUUCAAAGUUUAAGUAUAUCAAUGUGUUACCACUAGAUCAAGAAUGUAAUUGAAGAGAAAUAAUUACAGAUCAAGAAGAUUCACACAGAUAAUAAUGGAGUAGAUAUGUUGACGAAUACUUUGCCUAAAGAGAGGCAAGAGAUUUGCCGGCAAUUGAUCAACAUGCACGCUCCUUGAGGAUCAUGAAGACAAUCUCCCUCAUGAGCUACUAAUGGGAGAGGUUGUUGGGUGCAUGGCUCAUUAAAUGGCCACGUCUGUGUCAGCUCAUAUAGCAAUAGAGAAGGCCACAUUUAAUGCGGAGGAGAGAGAUAGGAGAAGACGAGAUGUCUAAAAUGGCCCAUGAUGUGGAUUACUUCUCACACCCCACAAUGGCCUAGUAAUGGGUAGGCAAAACCAGAAGGGAGAAAUGGUUCAGCUGCAAAGCACAUGGCAUGUAACACAACUUACACUUUACCUCACUCUCUCUCCCCCCUUCUUUAUAUAUCUAGGGUGUUAAGUCUCGUUGGGCUUCGACAUUUGUAUGCAUAUUUGAGCAAACAUAUGGAGCCUUUUAAAAAAAGAUGACAUAUGGAUAAUGUUGGCUAUUCACAAUGCACUCCAUUUGUGACCUAUGAUCUAGGGAAAAGUAACGUUAACUUCUUAUGGAUUAGGACAUAGAAGCCAAGUUUGGCUAGAAAGAUAAGUUUGUCUUGAGUUGAUAGUAAUUUGAUUUCUCGUCACAUUGCUUUGUCGACAUAGUCAUUCAAUACGAUGGCCUCAUAAUCUCCAUUCUCUCUGUCUCUCUAUCUCUCUAUCUCUCUUUGUCUCUGUCUCUGUCUCUCUCUCUCGCUCUCUCUUUCACCUCUCAGACACAUAUAAGAAUUGGGUCGGACAUCACAGGGGAAUGUUUCACGCCCACUUUCCAACCGCUUGCGGGAUAUUGGGCUCUACGUUGGUUUAGAGAGGCUAGGGAUGCUCCAUACCUAUUGAUAAUUCUAACUACUCCGGGACAGCACUAAUGAUUUUAUAUUACACAACAAAUUCUGUUUGUUAGAAACAACAGUCUAACCACCAAUUCCAUCGCAAUGUUUCAACUGGACUUUGUGACUAUUAUUCAAUCCUACUAAAAAGCCUACAUAUACAUCAGCAUAUUAAAACAUGACAUAUAAGGGUAAUGCCUAAAAUGUGUUGGCAUAACUAAAUACUUGAAUUAUCUCAAAUGAUUAGAUGAUUACGAAGUUGAUUGAGUAAUACUUGGCUUUACUUAGUUAAGCUAUUUAAUGUCCUGUUGGUAUCUGAUUUUAUUAAUAAUUUGAAGUAUAUACAUUGUUGGAUGACAAGGCAUCUAAACAGGACUCCCUUUUCAUUGAAGGGUAAUACAUCAAAGGGAAAAAUAUAUUUAUCAGAAAAGUUUUGUUUUGUCACUAGUAAUAUGCAUUCCUUCUAUGAGAUUACUACUCCCUGUUCCAUGAGGUCAUUGUAAGUAUUUUAGCUUUUGAGUUCAAAAAUGAACAAAUUCAUUGAGUUAUAGAAACCAUAGCAUUAACCUUUUUUUCAUGUAACUAAAUGUCGAAGUGAAGAACAAUAAAAUAUGUUAAAGAGUUAAUGUAAGGUGGUUUCCAAUAGUGUUGUUUCCAUAAAAAAGUUACAAGGAAGCAUGAACAGAAAAGUAUUUGUUUUAUAAUCUAACUUUAGACAAGAAAGCAUCUCCUAGCUUCAUAAAUGGGCAUGUUUCGAUUAUUCUCCCUUUUCAUCUUAUUGAUGCAGUAUUGACAUGGACAUUAAGUGGCAUUCCUCAUAUGAUAAAAGUCUUCAUGCAAGUUCAGUUGAUUGAACUCAACUAUUCUCUCUUUCAUUCUUUGUAGAACCACUUAGAUAAUUGAAAACUCUUAACUAUAUUAUAUAACUUAUGUGAGUGUCACUGGGAAGAAUGUAUGCUCAUAUGAUAUGAUUAUAUUGCUUGAAAUGUAUCAAUGAAUGACAAUCAGCACAAGACAAGGUUUCCCUAAAAUCAAAGUUUAUACCCAGAUGACGUUAAGUUUACAAGGCAAAAUAGAUGAGUAACCAUAGUUCAAUGGUAGGAAUGUAAAGAAAGAUGUUUAAAGUAACCCGUUGCUCCAUCAAUUAGAAUGGGGAUGCAAAAAUGUGGCGGUGAUGCCAAAAGUCUCUUAUUGGUGGUGAAAAACAUGUUAAACUGUGAGGAAGGAAAGGCUAUGGGUAACACAUUGUUCCCUCUUGUGUUGGGAAUGGGCUUGCAUCUAUAAAUUAUCUACUUUGUUUCUAAUGAUCACCUCUUGUCUUCUGGCUGCCCUUUUUAUGUAAUGAAGUUGCCACAAGAGUAUCAAACUUAGCUAACCAAACUUUGAUAUGUUCAAAAAUUUUUCUCACAAAUCGAGAAGAAAGGGGUUAAACGAAAUGAUUUAUGAUAAGUCUUCAAUAUUAUGAGUUAAUAAUAUAGUGUUAUCAUAGUUUUAGCUAUAACUCAUGAUAAAUAGACUUAUAUUUGUGAUAAAUUAUGAAAAGUGGUUUCUAGUUAGUUAAUAUGAAUUUUUGAUUAAUUACAUGAAAUUAUAUGAAUUUAUACAAUUUUAUAAUUCUAUUUUUUGAGAUAAUUGUAAAAAGAGUAAAAUAAAAAUUAAAAAGUUGAUCUCACAAGUAGGUUGAAGGCUCAAUUGGGUGGCUAAGGAUUGCGAGCUUGAGGCUCAAGUAGCUUAGUGCGAACUGCGAGCAUGAGGCUCAAGUGGCUGACGUGUGCGACACUCCCCUUCCACGUCAUUGGUGGCCAGCUGGGCAUGGGGCGUCCUCUUGCUGUGUUGACUAGAAGACGAAGCCCCUAAGAUGUGCCCCACCUCUAUCUAACUUAUCUUCAUUAGGUGACAACCAUUGAAGGGUUGCAAAUCACAAUUUUUCUACUUUGCAAGGUGAUAGUUGUCAGAGACAAUUUAGCAACACAUUAUAUUGAUUUCUAGACUUCACAAAAAAAUUUAAAGAUUACCCACAUCGUCUUUGUCCAAGGAGAGCCUUCGAGUCAUAGACAUUACACAAAUUUCCUUCUAAACACGUAGAAUUCUGGCGAUUAUUAUUGCAAAACCAAAACUCUAUUGUUUCUUACUUUAAACUUUAUUUUCAUUUAAAUUAGUAACAUUUGACACGAUUUCAAAUUUUAAUAUCCUUCAUAAUUGAGUUAUAAUUCUUCAGGCUUUUACAUAACUUAAUUUGAUCUAUUAAUUUGACGAUAACCAUUUAUGUAAGAAUCAUAGGUCGAAACUCUAUUUCCACUUGAUUCAUGUUUGUCGGGGCACUAAUGUCACUUUGAUGUCAUAGCCUUUCCUUUUGUGCAAAUUCUUAAAUGUAUUAUAUUUAUUUUUCAGUUUAAAAAAUCAUAUAAAAUCAUAUUCCUUUAAAAAAAUUUUGAAAUAUUACCUAAUAUUAUAUUACAUCCCUAUGAUCAACUUAAAAAUUUUCAACUAUUUUUAGAAUAUUUUAUUUAUUUAUAAUUAAUUAAUUAAUAUAUAUUUAAAAUUUUAAAAAUUAGUAUUUUCUAGUUUUAUAAAUUUUAAAUUUGCACGAUUUAUUAUAUAAUGAUUAAGUCACGUCAGCUUCCUUUACUAUAAAGUCAUGGCCAAGGAGACAACUAUGAAUAAUAUUUCUGGACGAUACAUUGAGUGGAAUGCAAAUCCAUGGGAAAUCAGAUAACUAUGCAAAAAAAGAAAAUAUGUGGAAGUCAUGUAGAUAGAGGACAAAAGGAAACAGCUGGCAAUGUCUCGACAAGCGGCUCAUUCCCAACAAGGAAAUAAUAAUGCUUUUAAAUCAGGCGACAGUGAGCUCUAGAGAAAAUCUUCAAAGGCAUAAGUUAAAUGUUCAAUGGCUGAGAAAGAUAAACGACCCAUAUAGUUCACUGAACUAGGAUUUUACUUAUUCCAGGACAGGAAUUCAGAAUGUAAAGUUAAAAACCAAAGUCUGAUGUGACUGAGGCAGAAUGAAGCCGUAAUUCAAUUGAUAAGAGAUCGAUGUAAAUAAGCAUCCUCUCAUUGAUUUAUUGAAGAAACGGCGCAACAUGGCAGGUCUUGGAGGUGCCCGUUAUUCUCCUGCAAGCAAGACGUGAUCCCCUCCUCUACGCCUUAGAACGGAUAACAGCUUCCUCCACGUCAGCAUUCACAAAGACGACUGAGCAUCCCAGGCGGCAGGAUGGGCGCUCCACAUCCAGGCUGCACGGGCAAGACAUGAUCUUGUAGGCCGAUCUUGGGAAUUCAUCAGAUUUGUAUAUGGCGAACCUACUAUUGUGAGGACCAAUGCUGUCGGAUACUGAUCCGCCCGUCGUCAGGCUCUCCUUCUCGACUCUCCACACUGUGGACUCAGUGCACUGAGUAGGCGCCGCAAACAUGGCAUAGAACGUCCCCCCAACUCUCAUGGUUGAUCUGUCCGGGUCCUCUGGGAAGAACAUGACGGGCAGCCCCCUGGCCACCUCCGAUUCCUCCCGGGCCACGUACAGUGGGCACGUCUCGUUGAGGGACACCAGAUUCAGCCCGCCGCCAGUAGGACCGAAGAUCGCCGGGAGCACGUAGUACUGGUGGCCCCGUUUGAGUACAUUUCCUCCAUUGUCGAGGACAGGAUCGGAGAUGAUCGCGGCAUGGGAGGUUGCCAGGAGGAGUGACAAAAGGAGGACGAAUUCCAUGGCUUGGAAUAGAGUGAAUCUUGCUAUUAGGAAACUAGCUGCAAUACCACUUGGCUCUGGUAGGGCAAGUGGUAUUUAUACAUUGCCGAAGCAUUACAAAGAGAUAAGAACUUGAUAAACUCCUUGAUGGAAGACGCCAGGAAAUGGGGCCACGGAACCCCCCGCAGCUGCUGACAGAUCCUAUUCCCACGUGGGCCUUCCUGGAGGAUCAGGCAAACCACUUGCAGCUUAUCCUUACACGUAAGGGACAAAGGUUUGCACGUGGUCAAACUGUGCAUGCUGAACACCCGUAUAACGCACGUCAUUGCUGCGGUCAGAAAUGGAGUGCGUCGAGAACAGGCAACAUUAUGCAUGACAUCAUUUUUGGGAUAACCCAAUAAUAUACUUAGAUAUUCGCACAUGUGUAUGCACAUUGAGAUGAGAGAAAAAGCCCAACAAGACACCAACAUUCGGGAUAUAUAUAUUGUGAGACAGACAGACAGAUAGAUAGCAAACGAGAGGGCCGUAUCUGCGUAAGCUCAAGUGUUUCAGGCUGCGUGUGCAAUGCCUAAAUGAGAUUGCCAGCUCGUGAUGUCAACGGGGGCAGGUGGGUAGAAGAGUAAGCGACUGAGAACAAGAUGGAAAGCUAGCUUUCUUUACAAGACGAGACAAGGGGACCGUUAUAAAGAUUAAUGAACAGGAGGACAAAUGAAAGGCAACGUGGCUGGCUAACCCAGAACGAAACGUACAGUAGAAAGUCCUGAUAGAUUUGAGCCAUUUCAUUCGAGUUAAAAUUGCUCGAUUAGCAUUGGAUUGCAAGUGAGGGUCUGUCAUACGCAUAAUUAAAGUUAAUGUUGAAUUCAAUGCCCCGAAAAUGAUCAGAGGAGUCAUAUUAUAAUAGUCCCAGAUUGAACGAAACCAAGAGUAACUUCUAGCUCGAACAAUAAGUCUGCUACAGCUACUGCCAGGUCGCAUAACAGGCUAUGUGAAAUCAACAAUCUCAUAAACGAUUCAUUUCAUGCUUGGAAGGGAUAUUGUUUACAGCAUAGUCUGAACGACAGAUUGUGCAAAACGUUGUGAAGUAAUAUGAAGUAACUCAGGCACGACAUUGGAGGUGGCCGCUCGCAGGUGGUGAAAAGGAGAACCAAUAGAAGAAGACGAACAAGAGAGGACUCCAUCGUGGCGGGCAGCACGUAGCUAGGUUUUUAUGGAACUGCUGGGUAUUGAGAUGGUCUCGAAACUGCGCUACAGUUCGCCUUUUCUUCAACGCUUGAGCCGUGAGGCAGUAAAACUAGUCGCGACAUUGAACUGUAUAUCUAACGAUCCUCCUCGGGACAACGUUAAAUGGCAAGUGAAAAUUAUUGUUUUCAAAGAAAAACUCUCUGUCUCUGUCUCUGUCUCUCUCUCUCUCUCUCCAUGAUCAUUCACCUUAACGAGAUGCUGUCAGGCACGUUGGACGUUUUCUUACGCACUGUUUUUCACACUUACCAUAUGAACGAGAAAAUAACGAAAAACCUGUAAACAUUUGACACCCAGGAACAUGCACCCACGAAGGGUUAACCUUUUUUUUCUACUCGGCUAACCAAAUCACUCGUUUGGUAAUCAAGUUUACUUUCUCCAAGAUGUACUAGUCCUAUAUUGAUGAAAAAGAAGGUAAACUAAAAUCAUAGAGUGACAAUGUGAUGGGAAUCAUUUGAUUUUAGUUCGGAACUGAUGGCUGAGAUUGGCAACGUAGAGGUUGCCCUCACUUUUACGAAAGAAACAAAGAUAGUAUUAGCAUGGUGGAUGCCAAGAAUGAAGGACCGUUGAUGGUAGUAACUUCGAAUAUCAACUGUUUAUGAACAUGAGACAAUAUGUCUUCCUGUAAAUUAAGAAAACCAAGUUUUCCACUGGACUAACUGAACCACGCAUAUUUCCAAAUAAUGAUUCCUUAGAAACUUGUGAAGAAUAUAUCCAUUUAGAACUGUUCAUCAUUAGUUUCUUCAUCCGUAUUUCAGUAAUAUUUAAUUGCUAAGGUGUUUCAGGUUUGAAUGUGUGUAGCCUUCAUAUACUAUUCGUUGUAUAGGUAAUUGUAGAAAAUAAUUUGACGAUCUGUAUGUUCUUCUAAAGGGGCUUAGAUUUCUUAGAAACUAAACCCUUCUAACGUUAUAUUGAGCAUAAGAGUCAAACAAAACUAACACAUUAUAUUCAUUCAAUAAAUAUUCUUUUACAUUACCAGAUAUUUUCUAAAAGUUUUUCCAGAAUCUAUAGAAACCUUGUUUCUAUCGUACGUAUAUUCAUAUUAUUUAUCACGUUAUUAAAAGGAACGAAUAGUUUUAUUCUCCAUGAAUCAUCAUAAAUUUGAACUAGCACUAAAAGUCAUGCCAACUUGGAGUCUUCAUGUUGCACUCAAUGUCACUACUAUGGGUAAAUCUAGAGUAGGACGAUAUAACCCAGUAUUCCUCGUCGUCAUACAAGAUCUAAUAAUGUAGACGUGGACUAUUUGUUAUCCGUUAGGAAUCUUAAAAGUGAUUGAGACAGUCAUAAAAUCUCUUUCUGCAAUCUGGAUGAAUUACAUUUUCUGGUAUUCUCUAUCAUGAUUCCAUGGUAUUUCAUUGUGUCUGCAUUCACCAUACAAAGUGUGUUUACUAUCUUGAAUCACCAUGGAUUUAGUAAUAUUUAUAAAUUGUAGUGAUGACCGGCAGAAAAAUUCCAUUAAAAUUGGGAGCAAGAACUUCCUGUUUUAGCUCAUUUCUUUUUUCUGAAAAUGGCUCACGAUAUAGCAGAAAUAGAUAAAGCAUUAUCAAUAGAGUAAAAUAUGGAAGAAUCAUAAUAGGUUAUACUGUUUGCGAACAAGAUGUAUGAAUGGAUAUGGACCAUUUGAAAAUAUUAUAUGAGUUGAAAGCUAGAACUGAGUUACGCCUAUAAAUAAUAAUGUAGGGAUCCACUUCCAUGCACAAAGAGACAACUUUGAUAGCUUAAUGAAUUCCAAAAAACCCCAAACAUAAAAUCAAAUUUAGGAUAGAAUAUUUUUACAUUUUUAUCUAUAUUUAUAAACAAACUAUAAUGAUAUAACCAUAACACACAGUAACUUAUAAUUAUGGUGACUUCUAAUUUAACUUGAGUAGUUUUUGGGCUGUUUGAUCCAAAACUAGUAACUCAAUAUUGAAAGGAUAUCAUAUUGGCCUAUUCCAAGUAAACUAUUGUUGAAAUUCAAGGUAAUAUGUUGGUGCUGGAAUUUAAUUACUGAAAUUUUGAAAUAAGGCCCCUUAAAUGGUUGACUAAUCUUGCUGGCUAUAGGUGUUUCAAUAUUGACCACAACAUAUGGACGAUAGUUCAGUCAAGUGGCUAAUAAUAGAAUUGCAUAUCUUAAUAGCCUCAUAGAUGAGUUGCAUUAACAUGUUACGAUGUUCAUGGGUCUACGAAGUCCUAAGUGGGGUCAAAGGGAUUCAAAAUAGUCAUGUGCCUAGAUUGGACAAUUGAUCUGACAAAUAUCAUUGUGGAAUAUAUCUGUACUUUACUCAAGUUAUUUCGAGUAAUAGCUUAUGGGAAUAGAGGAACAUAGCUUAUCAGACAAAAGUCUAAGGUGCCACAAAUCUUUUCAUUGGGUCAGCCGUUGAGAGCAGCCUAACAGGUUAACGGAAUCACCCGUUCAGUUUCGAUUUUGUUAUUGGAGCUAUUCAAUUAAUGUAAAUAGAUGGGUUAAUGGAGAUGCCUGUCUAGUUCCUAGAUUGGACAACUGAUUUUUCAAAUAUCAUUGUAACAUGUUUCUAAAUUUUGCUGUCUUAUUUCUGGUAAUAGAUUUUGAGAAAAUAACAGAGGUUAGGAUUCAAGUAUACGACGUCCCGGAUCUUGUUGUUAGGGCGGCAGAUGGGAGUAACCGAACAGGUUAAAGGAGUAAUUCGAUUUAGAUUUAAGGUUUCGGAUCCUGAUAAUGGAGCUCUCCAUUACGUGUGAAUGGAGGAUUAGGGGAUCUACCCACUAGGCGUGUAGGAUUGGAUCGUCGAACAAUUGCCAUACUUUUCUAGAUCUCGUUAUUGGAACAAUUUGAUUAAUGUUGCUAGACUGGUUGAGGGAGUUACCUGUCAGGUGCGUUAGAUCAGAUGAUUGGCAAGCCAGCAACCUUACUUUCCACUUAGUUCGCAGACCCAGAAUCUUCAAAGUAUUAUGGAGGCGUAUGUAACUAGGUAAACGGAUCUACCCUUUAUUUAGCUGAUCUAAAUUGUUCAACCCUUGCGAUGCGGUGUGCAAUCAAGUAAAUGGAUCUAUGUAAUACUUUGCACUACCUCUGUGAUAAGAUGGGAAAUGGACCGUUGUUCUUCUACUGGAGCAGUUCGUUCAAUCCCAAUAUGCACUGUGGGUUCCUGCUUGAGCUUAAGAGUAGAGCUUAAGAGUAAUUGGAUGAAAAGUAGAGGUUGAAGAAAGACAAACAGAGAGUUGAAGAGCUAGUGUGAGAAAGCGUUCCAGCUUGAACUUACAAGGAAGACGAAAUAUACAGCUAAAGUUUACAGUAAUCUCCAUAAAAAAGCUUUGAUUUCGCCCACAUUGAAGAAGAGGCAUAAAGAGGCACACAAACACGCGAGUAAAUGAUGCAGCAGUGACGUGGAAGAUAAAUAAGAUUUGGGCUUGAAUCCACAAAACUCUAAUCUUGGAGAAGAAACCAACCUCUGAAUCCACAGAUUCGGAGUCUCCAACCCUUGAGUCCACAAGGGGGUGCCUGAAUCCACAAGCAAAGGAAAGGUUUUCACAGGAGAGAAAACUGAUUCAACUCAAAAAGGUAAGUCCCUCAGGUUACAAUGGGGGCCUUUAUAUAGGCCUAGAAAGGGGGUGGGGGCGCUCAUAAAAGGAGGAUUCUGACAGAUCCUGAGGACAGACUCUGACUAACACUGAAAUGACUUAAAGCAGACUAUGAUAGAUUGAGAUCUUGAACAAAUCCUUUGAAAAUACUCUGAAGUGACAUAAAGCAAGCUCUGACAAGUAUAUAUACUAAGCAGAUCUUAAGUACAGACUUUGACAGUCUGAUAUCCUGAGCAUAUCUUGGGUACAGACUGAACCCCAUUAAAGUCCCUUCUAGAAGGAAGGAGACAUAAAGUGCCUUAUAGAAGUGAAAGGACAUAAAGUAGAAAGUAAGUAUUACUUUUCGGACCGCCAGCUCACUAGUGACAUAUGUGGGCUCCCUCUUUACUACUUUUCACUUUAUGGCCCAAAUUUAGGGUAAUUGGGCCCAACUUCGAAGUUAGGACUUCAACUUGUGUCUUGGGCUACAUCAGUAAAUCAUUUUACUUUUUGUAUUUAUACUUUUGUGAAACUAGGCCAAUCUAGAGCUUUGUAUCAAAAAGAGAGUGUUUGAUUCUCCUCUAGCUGGAAAUCUAAUGAUGCAAGUAUAGAAGAUGAUUUAUAGCUGAAAUCCUGAGUUGGCUGGAGCUGUGAAUUCUAGAAGGGUGCUAUACCUCUGAAUGUAUUGUGUAAAUCAGCAAGGACUUGGCAGAGUCCAGGGAUGUUGCCCUUGGAAAAUUGAGUAUAUCAUUAAGAUGGAAAAAUUACGAAUCAUGGUGUUUGACUAUUUACUGUCUGUCAAGCAAAGAAUGAGUGAGAUUUCUGAGGAAAAAGGAUGAACAAACAUAAAUCCACCCAUCCCCUGAAUACAGUGCUGCCAUAUAGAAACUGUCCUAGCUAAAACACUUUAAAAAUAUAAUAAUUUUGUGAUGUUGAAAAAGGGUUAUGCUAAUCAAAACCUCACUAAUCAAUGCCGCCCUUGAUUUCUAUCACAAACUUAUGUAGACUAAGAAAUUUAUACAAUGUGGGUAAGUUUCAUUAAUCAUGAUUAAUUUCAAAUUAAUGCAUGAGAGUUUAUAAUUUAAUUAAAUAGCACAAUCACUGGAUAAAUCUAAUUAAUAUAAAAAUACUAUUUCAUAUUAUUCUAAUGUUAUAACACCAUUCUUUCGAAUGAGAUAUAAUCUGAUUAAUAAGCAAAGUUACCAUAGAUCACUUGAUAAUAAAAUAUGAAUGAUGUUUAUGAUAAAUAACCAAAAUUUUCUGUUCAUUACAUUGAUUGAAGUGCUUUCCUUCGUAAUAAUUUAUUUAAAAAAGGACCUUUGACGUAUUUUACCAUAUUCUCAAAAGUAUAUUGAAAAUUAUGACUUAAUGAAUUUACUUUGGUAUCUAGGGAAGGGAAGCCUCGCAAAGGCUGAAUAUAAAUGUACCAGAAGUGGCUUCAAGAAUCAAAUAUAAUAAAUAUUUCGGCGAAAAGGACUUAAAAAAAAUGAAAUUUGCAAGAAUACUUAGGUGGAGGUAUUUCUUUUGAGAGAUUCUCUAGAUACCCUUUUCUAUUUUGAGAACUUUGCAAACCAUUAUGACAAUUCCAGUAGACAUCACUAGGACUUCAAGUUAAGUCGCAUGAUACUGCCUGUCCGUUUAUUAGGGAUUUCUGUUUCUUGUAAACAUUGAAAACCAUUUUAAAUAUUUCGUCAUUAUAGCCAUUAAUCAUUGCACCAGAAUGUAUUGCAAGAAGAUGGAGACAACAUACCUUCACAUAAUCUUCUGGGAAAGUAGAAACUCGAUAAGUCCCUUCCUUUUGCAGAUUCGACAGAGCAGAGCUCGGUUGACUAGGAGGAAAUUGGUCCAAUACACCCACCAUCACGAUUCCUUUGAAUCGCCUUAGAGCGAUAUCGCACUAGAGGCUCAAGGAUGUCAAAUCAUGAAUUGACACUAGGAUAUGAAAAGGGCUACGCCACCUGUGCCCGUAACUAUAGAUGAAAAUUCUGCGGGAUAAGUUGAGGGCGAUCAUCUCAUCUGCUGCAUUGAUAAACAACGUGAUCUGGGUAAUGAUUUUGCUUUCUUUGUAGCGCCCGUUGUAACGACAGGAGUUAGCUGGAGCUGGCGACCUGAGGCCCCAUCGAACUCCCGGUCGGAGAAAGAGGAAGACACCUCAAGGAGGGCUUGGCACCGACGGGGUGACCAGCACCAGGCGUCCUCACGGGAGCAGGAGGCAGCGGCAAUGGAGUCCACCACCCGCGGGGUAGCACGCCAGACGAUCUGGCACGGAAGUUUGACGAAGCACCAAAGGAGGGCAAGUGGGCAACACACGCAGGCUCCGGGCCACUGCGUUGCACCACCUAGGAGCUAGAAGUUAAGUAGGGAGGGGAAGGACGGCGGAAUGCCGAUGACCCAAAGGGCGCAGCUUUCCUUCCAACGCCUGCUCUUCCCAUCGAUCUAUGAACAAGCCUCUGGACUAGGAAUGCGUUGCCUGCCUCGUGGUUAAGGUUUCUUCAGUUAGAAUCCCGUUGCCUUUGUCUUUGCCUUUUUCGGUUGCCUGCUGUGUGGUUUAGGUCUCUUCGGCUGCCGUCAUCUACAGCUGUGGUAUGCCAUCGUAGGUUGACGGCCUGGUGCAAUUGAUCGGAUGCUUUCCGCUGCCUCCUCAACUCGCACCUUUUUCCCCACAGAUGGAGAGAAUGUCAGCGGCGAAGGUAUCUGAUGUGUUUUAACUUCGUCGAAUAUCUUUUGGAAUCGGUCCAACAUGUUGACCAAAUUCUUCCCGCAUUUCUAUAAUCUGGGGAAAACGUACCAUUGGCAUCUUCUGCGUUAGGACACAAAAGCCAAGUUUGACAGGAAAAUUAAGUUCGUACUGUGUUACCUGAUUUCUCACCAGGCGGCACCGUCCACAUAAUCUUUCAAUCGGAUGGUCCACAUAUUAUUCUGGGUACUGUCCAAGCCAUACCGGCCAUAAUUGUAUACUUAAUUUAUGUCAAAUGCUGGAGACACUUGGGACGUUGGUCGUAUUGAAUUAUUUGUGGUUUUGCCUAUUACAACUUAGUUUAAAGCUAUUUAAUGGGUCUGUAGUAUCUGGUUUCAGUCAUAAUUUAGAAUAGGUACAUUGUUGGACGGCCAGGCAGGUAUCUAACAUAAGGCUCCUGUUUUAAUGAGACUGUAUAAAAGUGAGGGGAAAAUAUAGUAAUUAGACAGGUAAUGUGUUGUGUUACUACUGAAUACACAUUCCUUAUACAAAAUAUGAAGUACUGCAUGAUGCAUGUGGUCAUUGCUAAAAAUGAGUUAAAAUUUGGAAAAAAACAAGUUCAUUGACUUCGUACGCAUCUAAGCACUGAACUGUUUAUUCAUGUGACUAAAGGCAUAAGAGAUGGAUAAUAUAGUAUUCUAUUGGGUUACUGUAGACAAAAUGAAUAACCAUGGAAUCAUGACAGAGGAUACCUAAUAAAGUAUUUUUCCAGAUAUUAGAAAGAGAUUCACUGACUUUAUUGAUCAUUUUGAAGGUUCUCAUGCUGAUGGAUUAUUUGAUUCAUGAUGGAUUUCCUACAUUGUAAGUCUGAAAUUCAAAAUCUUGCAUUAGCAUGAUUAUGACUAGGUUAUAUUUUUUACUCUAGAUUAACAUUUAAUAAGUAGAUUCAAGUCAAGAUGAAAACUAUAGGUUCACAAUGACUUUUAACGCUAAUUUAGAUUUAUGAUGAUCCAUGGAGAAUAAACAUAUUUACUUCUUUUAAUAACAUAAUAUAUCCUAUUCCUAAAUAUAGGAUGUAAACAUGCUUUCUACAGAUUCUCGCAAAUAUUUUUAUAAAAUAUGUGAUAAUGAAAAUGUAUCUACUGAAAUAGGGUGUUAUUUGUGGUGGACAAUCAUAACAGUUCCAGCUGAAUAUGAAAGUCAUAACGAAUUAUAGUGGGCGCUAAUGAAGGAUUUAGUUUUCAGGAAGAUGAUAUCUCAUCAGAACAUCAUACAGAUCAUGAAAUUAUCAUUCUGAAAUAAAUGAUACCAUGAAUAGAGUAUGAAACCUAUGCACAUUAAAACCGGAUAAUGCCUUAGAAAUGAAAUACACGUGAGGAAAAUAGUGCUUCUUAGUCUUAAAUGAAUAGAUUAUUUAUUAUUUCUAACGAACCAGAAAAUUGGAAACAUGAGUAGCUCAAUCUGUCAGUUCUUUUCUUCAGCUUUUAUUCAUAACGUUUUUGCACAAUCUGUUGUUCAGACAACGGUGUAAAUAAUCUCUUCCAACCAUGAAAUGGUUAUUCCAUAAAUCAACUAUGACGGUAUUGAUUUUACAUACUGUUUAAGCUACUUGGCAGCAACUACAGGAGACCUUUUAUAACACGACUCUUCAUUUGAUCAUUUCCCGGUCGUUUAAUUAAUGAUUAAUUUUAAUUAUGGGUAUCAAAUAUCUCAAAUCUGUCAGCAGCUCCUAUCGUAGAUUUCGCUCUGACACAUCCUACGACGUUGCCCCUCAUUUGCUCUCCUGAUUUUCAAUCAGCCCCCUCAUAACGUCAUCUAAGGACAACGAGGCUCCAGCCUUAUGCUCCGUCGCUUACUCUUCCGCCCAUCUGGCCCCGUGGAGAGCAGGAAGAAAAUCUCACGNNNNNNNNNNNNNNNNNNNNNNNNNNNNNNNNNNNNNNNNNNNNNNNNNNNNNNNNNNNNNNNNNNNNNNNNNNNNNNNNNNNCCGACAUAGCACACCACAUUUAAUACUUGAAUUUCGCAGAUCCCCCUCCCCCUCUCUCUCUCUCUCUCUCUCUCUCCCUCCCCCCCUCUCACCCACUCACCCUUUCUCUCUCUCUCUCCCUCCCUCCCACCCACCCUCUGUCUGUCUGUAUCACUGAAUAGAUAUCCAGAGUAAUAAGUCGUAACGGGAUUUCUCUCAUGUCUCUAUGUGCAUUUGUACAUGUAUCUAAAUUGAUGGGAUUAUCCAAACAGUGAUUACAUAUGCAUCAUGUUGGCCGUUCUGGACGCACUCGAUUUUGAAGGCAUCAACCAACGAGCCUUAAACGGGUGUUCAGCUGACGCAGCGAAACUGUUGGUGAUCACCCUUUGAGUUGAGUGGAUGUUGAGGUUGGCGGAAGAUGGGUUGAAAUCACGACUUGAAUCCUCAAAAGUCGAGAUUUCUGGUGAAGCCUCCUUGUCUUGAAUCCACAAAACGAAGAAACUAUUCCCUUGGUGCUCAAGGGCGGAUCCUGAAUUUUCAGAAUCAACGAGCUAACUCCCUGAGUCCAUAGGGAUGCUGGAGUCCACCAGCAAAGGGGAGAAACUCUCAAGGAGAAGAAACUCACGAAAUUCUAUUCAUAAAAAAUAAGUUCAAUGCCCUUGGGCUACAUGAGGCGUCCUUAAAUAGGCUAGAGCCUGUGAAAAGGGCGCCAACCUUGAAUUUCAAACGAAAUUUGAAAAUUAGGACGGAAUUACAUUUGAGAAAGUUUCUGGAAUAGAAAUGGGCUUAAAAUAAAUCAAAAUAGGCUUUUUUAGAAGGUGGUGUAAAGGCAAGUAACAGUUAUGGAAGGAAAAUGAAUAGAGAAAAGAAGAGAAAUAGAAAGAGGUUUUCAAUAAGGUUAAAUAGAUUUUAGAAGGUGGUGUCUAAAAUAGAAGGGGAAUAAAGAAAGGAUGAGACCUAAAUAUAGAAAGUGUCAAAUAUAGAAAGUGAUCUAAAGAUGGAAGGUCUAAAAAUAGAAAGUGAACGAAAUGUCAGAAGGAUCUAAAUAUAGAAGGGUCUAAAAAUAGAAAGUUCUGAAAAUAGAAACUUCAAAAAAAUGGAAAAUUGAUCUUCAGGUCUUCGUGUGUUCUGGUCCAAUAGAUGUUAUAUUGGCUCACUACAUCAUCAGCACUCUUAGUUUGACCUCGUGCGUCCUUUUCUCACUUACCUGCAUAGGAUAAGCCAUCUGUGGUUGGCCUCAUCCCACAAGAAGGCCCACGUGGGAAAACGAUCUGUCAGCAACUGAGGUGGCUACCGUGAUGCCGUUCCUGUCAUCUUCUACAUUAGAGGUUAUCACGUUUCAUGUUUGUCUGCGAUGCCUCGACAGAAGAUCCCCCAAACAUGUAUAAAUACCCAAGUGCUGCUAUAGCUAGUUUCCUAUUAGCUUGCUUCAUCCCCUCUUACCUUCCAUGGAACUCGUCCUUCACCUUCUAUCGCUCCUCCUGGCCAUGUCCCAUGCCGCGAUCUUCUCCAAUCCUGUUCUCGACAGUACAGGAAAUGAGCUGAAACGGGGCCACCAGUACUACGUGCUCCCGGCGAUCUUCGGUCCUACUGGCGGCGGGCUGAAUCUGGUGUCCCUCAACGAGACGUGCCCACUGUAUGUGGCCCAGGAGGAAUCGUAGGUGGCCAGGGGGCUGCCCGUCAUGUUCUUCCCAGAGAACCCGGACAGGUCAACCGUGAGAGUGGGGGGGAUGUUCUACGCCAUGUUUGCGGUGCCUACUCAGUGCACUGAGUCCACAGUGUGGAGAGUCGAGAAGGAGAGCCUGACGACAGGCGGAUCAGUAUCCGACAGCAUUGGUCCUCACAAUAGUAGGUUCGCUAUACAAAAAUCUGAUGACCCCGAAUGGGCCUACAAGAUAUUGUCUUGCCCCUGCAGCGUGGAUGUGGAGAGGGGAUCCUGCCGCAUGGGAUGCUCAGACUAUGUUUCACUGCCUAAUGCCGUUGUUUUUAUGAACGCUGAGGUGACAGAGGCCGUGAUCCAUUCCAAGGCGUAGAGGAACGGAAGAUCUAUCACUUGGGGUGAAUAACGGGCACCUCCGAAACCUGCCUUGUCGUGCUGUUCCUUCAAUAAAUGAAUGAGAGGAUCCUCAUUUACAAAGAUCUCUGAUUAAUCCAAUUGCGGCUCUUCAGACUUUCAUUUAUAAAUUUAUAAUUUGAUUAGAGGGUUCCUUCUCUCAUCCUGUUUAUCCUAUUAUAGAGAGCUUGAAAGGGGUUUGAGUGACUUGAAAAAGGUUCCAAUGAAAGAUCUCUUAUUAGAUUAUGCGAGUGAUUUAUUUUUUGAUUUUUCAGUGAGAGUUGUUCUAUUCUUGUCUCAUCUAAUAGAUAUUUCGAUGUUACUUGUGGACGUUGGAGGCUGACUUCCAAUCCACGUAAACUCGUUGUAUUAGUGAUCUUGAUCUGAAUUCAUCUCUUUCUUUCAUUGAGAUCCGCCACUAGUAAAUACCUUGCUAGUUGCUCCUUCGGCCUUCUAUCAACAUCGAACCCCCCCCCCCCCCCACCCACACGUGUCCUCUCCCGUAGUUCUCUCAUUCUUCACGGAUUCGCAUUCCAGUCAGACGUCCUGUCCACAAACACCGUUGACAGUGUUGUCCCUACUGAUGAUGUGACGAUAAAGCCCUACCGUUCAACCCCUUUGUCAACUUGCGGAUGGAAUGAGUAAACCCAUCAUUGUUUGGUCAACUUACGGCAGCUUCACUGCUUAGAAACGCCAGCCGCCAGAAGGGGCGGUGGCAGAGGAGAGCGAGGCCGUUUUCUGAAAAAUUGAUGAGCGUCGCUGUCUCGUGGGAACCUGAGGAAUCAUCUGCCGAAAAGUCAGACUGGAAACGACUCCAGGCCAUGUUCGUUUUGGGCACUGAGAAAAGGGGCGAGAGUCUGAAGUCAACUAGGAGGAGAGGAACUCGGUGUCUCCUCUGGGGAGCUCUCAUACGGCCGCCACCAACAGCAUGGAGAUUAUUCACCUCCACCCUGGCAGAGAAGGCAGUAGCCAAAUGGGACGGGUGCAAAGAGAGUGCAAUAGAACACCUGGGAUGAAGGCCUCCGCAGCAACGCGUGGAGUCAAAUUUCCCAUUCUCUAACUUCUCUGGCAGAUGAUUCCUCUGGUUCGCAUGAGCUGGUGAUGUUCCUUCAUCUUUCAGAAAACGGCCUCGCAUCGACCUCUCUGGGGCCCAACCUUUAGCAAUUCCUACCUUCCUAUUUCUUCUCUGCUGCAAUCAUUCGGCCGUUGAACCAGGCAAGCAACUUCACGCUCAUCUCAUCGUCUCGGUGACCAGACUUGUGAAUCUCGCCGUCUCCUAGUGCCUGGCUUACGUUCCCGCCCUGUUGGACAGAAUCCCCAAGGGAAGAUCUUCCUCUCGACGGUCCCAUGAGGGGGCUGUCGAGCUCUUCCGGCACAUGCUCGACGGAGGGGUCGAGCCGGACAACUUCACCCUCCCUUUCGUCCUCAAGGCCUGCUCCGCCCUCUCCAAUGAGAGUCGGGGUGGUGCCUCCACGACCAGGUGAUGUGUUCCCGGUCGUGCACCGAAGUUAUUCGUCGGCGCACGGCUCAUCAGCAUGUUCGUAAAAUGCGGCUACGUGGGAGAAGCCCAGUAGAUGUUCGACAGAAUGCCAGCAAGAGGUGUAGUGCUGUAGAACUACAUGAUCACUGCCUACGCUUUCAGUGCCUACCCUCUGAAGGCACUGGCGCAUACCGCGGCAUGGUCUUCAAUGGCUUUACGCUGAUCGAGGGGACACUGGUGACGGCCAUCUCAGCCUCCACCAAUGCCUUGGCUCUGCCAAAGAUGUCAGAGAUCGCCUUCUGCUGGAGGGUUGGUUUUCACCUCCAUGACGUGGUGAAGCCCUUGUCAACAUGUACGCCAAGAGUGGAGAUCUAAGCGGCGAGGACUUUCUUUAACCUGCUAACAGAGAAGAGGGUCGUCUCCUGCAAUGAGUGCUCAAACUGUUCGAGCAGACGAAGGAAGAAGGCCGGUCAAAAUAGUUGGUUGACGACCACUUUAAAAAUUUUUUUAACUAUCUUGUCCCGAAAUUUAUAUUUUAUAUAUUGUGAUCACGAUUUAAUUCGUCGAAUUUGAUUCUCAUAUUUCUUUUAGGUAAUAUUAUAAGUUUUGAUUAAAAAUAUUAUAUUAUUUUCAGAUGUAUUAUUUAUUUAUGUUUCGAAGAUAAUAGAUCAUUAAUGAACUAUGUUAUACUUAAAAAUUUUGUAGAUAUAUUUUGUUAGUUAACGAUCACAUGCAUUACUUUCUUCUAGGAUGUCCCAACAUUUACACACCAUAUUGAAUUGGUUUCUAGCUGUUUAAAUUUCUAUCCAAUUUUAGAAUCUAAAUAUUAAGGUAUCAUACAAGAUACAAAUAUUUUAGAAUCUUCCUCUAUGACUUCAACAUCUCCAAUAGCUAACUAGUUUUGAACAUUCAUCUCUUACCUCCCUACCAUCAGGUAACUUUUCCAUCACUUUUUAAGAGAAUUUUGUGAAAACUUAAGCGAUGCCUUUUUGUGGUCAAACUUUAAUAAAACAACUUGUUGAUAUGCCAAAUUUAUGUCUUACAUGACAAUCCUUGUACAUAUCGAUUAUCCAAUACCUUCAGCAAUCAUCUAAGUUACUAAUAUAAUGAGGGUAAUAAAAAUGAAGAUCUAAUAAUCACUUUCUUCACUCAAUUUCUACAAAGACAUCAAGUGAGUGCCAGCAUCCAAGAAUAGCUCAUGGUGAAUAACUUUCGUAUCUUAGGGAAAGCCCUAUGAUUAAAUUUUCAUUUAAUCAGUUAAAGAAGCUGAAUCUUUUAAUUAGCUCUGGUCCCCUAAAAUAAUGAAACUAGAAGAAAAAUUUGAUGUAAAUUUUAUGAUAGAUGAGCUAAGUAAUCAAUAUUUGUGUGUGGUAAACAUUUAGCUUAAUGAAACCAAUGAGCAUUCGCUGUUUAAAUCACUAUAAAAAGACCUGAAUUUAUUGGAUUUAGAUGUAGGAAAGUAAUAGGAUUCAAGAUCACAAAAAGGAGAACAUAAAUUUUCCAACAGUUGGCCAAAAGUCAAAAUUAGAAUCUACUGAAUUCAAGACUUAGCAUUGAUUCAAGUGCAGCUUAAAAAUCAAUAGAAUUUAGAGACAUUGCCACUAAAAAGUAGAGUAUCUCUCAGGCACAUAGUAAGAGUGUUUGAAUGACAAAACAAAGAUGAACUAACCCCCCUUUCAAUAUAGUAAUGUCAUAAAAACUUAUCUUUAAUGAAAAACUUUAAAAAUCUAAUAGUUUUUGACAUUGCAAAAUAGUUACACAUUUGAUCUGUAAAGAUCAUAAGAAAAUAAAAAAUAUUAAUCCCCCACUCGGUUCCUAAAAAAAAAUUUAGAUAAACACAUGUAUAUAAUGAGGGUAAGUUUUAGUAAUAAUAUAUGUACUAACGCAACUAAUAUAUAUUUCAAAUAUUAAUGUCAUUAUAAUUCAUGUCUCUUAAUGGGGAUAUAGAUUAACCAAUGAAUUGUAGGUUCUAAAAGGCCAGAUAAAUUUCAGGAAGGGGGAGUGAAUUUGGUAUCUAUGGGUUUUUUCAUAACUCUCAUUCCAGACUAUUACUUGGCUUAAAGUGAGACAUGAUGAUGUAGACUUUUCACAUAGCUCUCUCUCUUUGACUAAAGAUAUAAGGACUUUUUAUACUAGUUUGACUUGAGUACUUUAGUCCUGAAAGAUCCUUCCUAAUACUGCUACUAUUCUCCUCAGAAUUACACACACACUCUCUCUUGGCCCGCCUCUAAUGGGUAAGAAAUGUGCUAGACAUCAUAGUGGUAUGUGUCAUAGGACUUUCUAUGUUCAAUGACAACUCUAAUCCUUAUAUGGUGAUAGUUAAAAAAAGAGUUCCAUUUACACAUUGUAUUUCAUAUGUAAGAUACAAUUGUUUGUCAUUCUUACUUCCAAUGAAACGUUGCUAGGAUUCAACCCUAUAAGGGUGCCUAGAUACACAUCAACAUAUUGAAAAUUUGUUGGCAAUAUCCAAAAAAAAGCACCUAUAAUGAAGUACUUUUUUAUGUGAAAUGCAAGAGACAUUUAGGACAUUCUAAUUAUUUAUGGACCUCCAGUCAUACUUAGGAAUAGGUACAAUGUUAGAUGGCCACGUAUGGACCUCUUCUAAUGCCAUUUUUUAUAUGAGACAGGUAAUGUGUUGUGUUAAUACAAUACACAUUUCUUGUAUAAGGUAUAAAGUAGUAUCGAAUGAUAUAUUAGGUCAUUGUAAAAAUAAAUUGAGUUCAAAUUUAAAAAAGAAACAUGUUCAUUGACAUUGUUGGCAUGUAAGAGCUAAAUACUUUUUUAUGUGACUAAAGAUAUAAGUGAAGUAUAAUAUAAUAGAAUAAAGGGUCAAUAUAAUACUAGAAAAUAUAUUUUCCCAGAUAUUAGAGGGAUAUUGAAUGACUUUGUCAAACAUUUCUCAACUUUUCAUGUUGAUGGAGUAUUUCAUUAAUCUUGGAUAUCCUACAUUCUAAGCCUAUAAUUGAAGAUUUUGCCAAAGAAUGAUGAUAACUGGGUUAUAUUUUCCUACAACUAAGGAAAGGGGGCAGCCAAGGAUAGCACCCACAUCAAGUUGACUUGGUGACUAGCACUAGCUGAUGCUAGAGAGGUAGACAGAGCUGUGCCUAUAUAUUGAAACUAACUCAAAACCAAAUGUUGAAACAAAAUGUGAGAGACUAGAAGUUGGAUCUUAAGUUCCAAAUAUAAUUGUGUGAAUUAAAUAUAUGAUAACGGAAAAAAUAUAUUGGAGUAGUAUAAAGUGUUAUUUGAGGUUGAAUGUCAUGAUCAUUAAAAUUGAGCAUGAAAAUCAUAAAAAACUAUAGAGGGCAUAAUGAAGGAUUUAGUUUUUAAGAAAGCAAAAAGCUCUUUACAAGAUCAUAUAGAGCAUGACACUAUCUUUCUGCUAUUAUUGAUACGAUAAAUAGAAUAUCAAAGAUAUACACAUCAAAACUUGAUAAUUCCUUAGAAAUGAAAUAUUGAAGGAAUACAACUUAGGAAAAUAAGGUUUACAUGAUUUAAAAGGAUAUGUUAUUAACUAAUUUAUAAUGAAUUACUAAUUAGAAACAUGUGUAGUUCAAUUCAUCAAGGGGAAAACUCAAUUUUUUAAUUUUAAGAAAGACAAUGAUCUGAAUUUCAAAAAUAAUUGAGCUUGAAAAUCAAAACCAUCCAUUCAUUUCCCACACUUACUUCUGUGACACUCCAAUAUUGUUGGCAUCUACCAAGAUAUGACUUUGGGCAACCUCUAUGAUGACAAUCUCAGCCAUUGGUUCCCAACUCAAAUCAAACCAUUCUCAUCACAUGGUCACUCUCUAGUUAUAGUCUACCUUUUUUUUUAUCAACAUAGAACUACUAAAGCUUGGAGUAACAAUAAUUGAUUAAUUAAUUAAUGAUUGGGUCAUUUGAGCAGGAAAAAUGUAGAACAAUCCUCUAUGGAUGCAAGUUAAUGUAGAACAAUCCUCUAUGAGUUUUGAUUAGUGUUUCAGCUCCAUUUAUUUCAACAAAAACAAAUCAUAUUAGUAUUUUCAUUGUCUAGUUAUAUGCCCCAUUAGGUCUAAUUAUGAGUACUUAGUAGUAAUAAAUUAUUUGAUUCAACUCAUGGAUGAAAAUGAAAAUAUGCUGGAUUGGACAAAACAACUUUUGGAGAGAAUGGAGAUGAGAGUUGACUGACUUGAGGACUCCAU